rnacentral:lncRNA from 1 species
CCGUUUUGAUCAGGUAAUAAAUGCAAAGUAAGUAUGCUUAAGAAUUUUUGCAAAUUAAAACAACCUCAGUGAGAUAUAUAUAAAAGAUAAUGAGUGAUCUAAGAGAACCUAUGAGGAUCAAAAGGUAUGCUAACUUUCUUUUAAAAAUAUACAAAAAACUCCAAGUGGCAGGAUUGAGAAGAAAGGAUCUUUACUCUUAACCAUAUACAUCCCUGACUAUUGUACACAGUGGAUUUUUAACACCCUGCAAUUAUAAAGAGAAUGUUUUAAAUGUUUACCCCAGAUAUUGUUCUUAACCAUCCUUUUCUCGAGGACGAGUAAAAGCCUAAGUAUGGGGGUAUUUGUUGACGGUUCUUAAGUAUCAAUUUUAAUUAUCAAAUAAACAAGAGAAAGGACCAAUAUGCAACCAUCACCUAGAAUUAGGGUUUGAUCUGACAGAAUUCCACGAGUUUUGUUGUUUAUCUAUUUCUGCAGGGGGUUAUCAGGAAAUAAGGAAGAAAGGCCCACAUGUCGGGAUUACAUAGAGAUAUCAACGCACCGCGCAAUUUUACAUCAUCUAGAAGACUCCAGAAGCCACGAGACUGAAGCGGAGGCAAAACUGGGCCAGGCCCAGGGCGCCCGCCCUGGAAGCCUGGGCGCCCGCCCCCCUAUUGGAGCCAAUUCAGGACUCCUUCGCUCGGGAUAUUCCACCGACCUAUUGGAUCAAGAAAAACAUAGUACCACUGUUGACGGUCCUUAAUGCUCAUAUUUAACCAUCAAUUAAUCAUAGAAAAGGAUCCAAAUGCAACCAACACCUAGACUUAGGGUUUUAUCUGACAGAAUUCCACAAGUUUUGGUGUUUGUCUAUUUCUGCAGGGGGUUAUCAGGAAAUAUGGAAGAAAGGCCCACACGUCGGGUUUACAUAGAGAUAUUAACGUGCCACGCAAUUUUCUAUCAUCUAGAAGACUCCAGAAGCCACGGGACCGAAGCGGAAGCCGAGAGGCCUCAGGGACAGGGCGCCCGCCCUAGUCCUGAGGGCGCCCGCCCACCUCUUUCCACCAAUCAGGGUGAAGUUCGAGGAUCAUGCUCCACCGACCUAAUACUUCAAGGAAAACCACACGAUCAAUGUCGGUUUGAUCCGACGGCCCAGAUUCACUUGAAGGGACUAUAAAACCAGACCCCCCUGGCCCCUGGAGAUCAUACCUCUUCUACAGAAUCAAAGCUAGGGUUUCAAUUCUUCAUCCAAGUAGAGAGGAUCCCUCUACUUCUUCUAGUUCUACCUCUAGUUCAUCUAGAUCUAGUUCUAGUUCCUCUAGUUCUAGUUCUAGUUAGUUCUAGUUCCUCUAGUUCUAGUUAUAGUUAGUUCUAGUUGUAAUCAAGAAAAUAGGGAGAGAGAAGAGGAGAGCAGAGGAGGAGCCAGAUCUGUCGGAUCUUCCUCAACAUUGUACUUUUGCAGCAUCUGGUUCGUUCUUCAUCGUUCUCCAGGUUCUUCAAUUCAUAACUCCUGAGUUCUCUAAUUACUUUUAUUUACAUUCAAGUUAUUUAUUGGAUUCCCGCUUGCAUCAAGUGCUCUAAUCUUUGAAACAUUAGAGUAGUAAUUAAUAGAUUAGACGUGGUGUUUAGUCUUGCGAUUACCUGGAAUUGCAACCAAUCCUGCGGAUUGUUGUGGUAGCCUUAGGGUAGUGACAGCCCUAACGGUCGACGUAUUCCACCUCGUUCGGAUCGGUGUUUGUAGGACCGUAGUCGGAGCUUCCUAGCCCCCUUCUCAUCUCUUUCCGUGGUUAGUGUUCUGAUGUCCCGAUAUAGAUAAUCUUGAAGUAAUUCUUGAUUCUUAGAUCAACUAGAGAACUCUCAGGAAACUUCCUCUCUUCCCACCAAAAAUACUUAUAUAGUUAUCCUUGGGCGAUCUUGGAUCUUAAUUAGUACACUCACGAUCCCUGUGGAAAAUCGAUACUCUAGAAUACUCCCGGGUGAAGGCUACAUCGGUAUCCGUGCGCUUGCGGAUUUUUCUGUUUGCGUUUAAAAUACCCAACAAGCUUUCUGACGCCGUUGCCGGGGAACGGUAGCUGUGCUAGUUUCGAACCAAGUCGUCCGUGUAUCCUUUUUAUUUUCCUUUUUUUACCACACUCACCAUAUCAUUUUCACCAUACCACAUGGAUUUCACUCUAAGCAUUAAUGAGCAUGGAAUUUAUUUCAUAGCCACUUCAUUUACUCCAUGCUCAUAUGCAACAUCUUCACAAUCCAUUGGUUUUUCCAACAUCACCACAUUCAAGAUCUCCAACCCCCUCAUCCUUUCUAUUUAUAAAAACUUUAAAAGGGCGGUUGUCGAUGCAUAUGUCUAUAAUAAAUUUUGCAGAUCUCGUUGAGUUGAUCUUGAUAUAGGUCAGCGUUGGAGGGGAAACCACUUCACUGACAUAAAUUGAUGGUUUCCCAAGGACAAGCUUAGUGUCCUAAAAUAAGCACUGAUUAGAUCGUAACAUGAGCUUUGAAUUAUUUGCAACAUUACCUUGUGUGUUGAGCAUAUAAGAAUAAUUGUAAAAAUAUUCCUUCGGGUAUUCUUGUCACUAACCUUUCCAGGAUUGGAGCAAGAAGAUCGGAUGAAUGACAAGCACAAGGUAUGUCCAACCAAUCAUCAUGCAACAUUGAAUUAAAUUCAUCCAAACUUGAAUUUUGCAAAAUUCCAGCUUGGGGAGUACUUUACAUAAAAACAUCCUUUGCCAUGUUGCUAUGUUGGUUGUCCCUACCUUUGAGACAUGCUCAAUUUGUUACAUACUAAUCACACUACUUCAUCUCCACUUGAGUAGAUCUCUAUAAAUGCUCUCAUGGUACCUUUAUUUGCUUUAGUAUAUGUCUAGGUUGGAGUAGUCUCAUUUAUCUCUUAAUUAAGCAUGGUGCUUAGUUUAGGAAUGAUGAUCUUACUUCCAAAGGAUUUUAAAUUAAGCAUGAUGCUUAGGUUAAAAAGCCCUCCUGAAUCAAAUUAGACAUGGUGUCUAGGUUGAUUUUUGAGCCGAUAGUAUGCUAUAGUAGAUAUUGGAUAUUUUGUUGGACUAACCCCUGCAGGAAAACUUUCAAUAUCGACCUGGGAAGUCCUGAGAUAAACUCACAUUGGAGACAAAGAGAGAGACACAUGAAGUUUAACAAUUUGCAUGAGGAAGGCAUAGCUCACAAGAGAUGAUCCAUGGAGGGUGCCACAAACACGAUGCACAACCGCUAUGAGAGGAAAGCUUCCACAAGGUGAUACUAUACCAUCACUCUUCAAGUAAGGUAACAUCUUAAGGUACUUCACUAUCACUUCUAUAAGCUUCUCCUUUGUUCUGGCGUUCACAUGAAUAAAAGAGACAAACAUGUAUGAUUUACAACUCUAGAUUAACUAACCUAAUCGAUUCCACAUGUUUAGUCCUUCCACCUUUGUGAUCCCACACUCCUAAUCAUACGAGCUAAAAUGUUGCACACCCAAUCUUUGGAAGAUAUAUAUAUAUAUAUAUGAAAACAUAAGUAUAGAUAGAUUAUCUUUCCAUUAGGUUGAGUGAUCUGAUCUGACGAAUGUUUUAAAUGCUACACUCAUGAUCUUAUUAUCCAUCAACUGUGUCUUGCUCACUAUGCUUAAGGAUAGAGAAGAGCAAAUACACUUUUGGUUCUGUUGGUGUUUUCCACCAACAGGGCCCAUGCACUUGAUCUCUGCCUUGUCUCUAUGAGUAGGUACACUUCGAGCAAAAUAUGAAGGACUUUUAUAACUCCCAGACUCCACCAAGUGAAGAACCUAGAUCUACGAGCACAAACACACUAGAGAUACUGGACACUCAGAGAUACAAUCCAGGACGUCUCGUCAUCCCGAUCUCCAUCGACAUGGUGGACUUCCUAGAAGCACUCUGCAACUUUGGCUCCAGCGUCAACAUUAUGCUCCGGGUACUCUAUGAAAAAUUCUUUACACAUCCUUUAUUAGAGACAGCCAUGUGUUUGCAGCUUGCAGAUCAUACGCUAAGUUUCCCAAAGGGAAUAUUGAAGAACCUCUACGUCCGAGUUGGUACCUUAUACGCUCCAGCAGACUUCGUGGUGAUAGAGACUGAUACUGCUGAGAGGGCACCCAUCAUCCUAGGGAGGCCAUUUCAUCUACACUAGUGCUGCCAAGAUCAGUUUCUACAUCAAGGGGAAGAAGGAGACGUUUUCCUUCAAGAAACAAGACUACACAAAUCCCAGAGCAAUCCCGACAUGAACCAAGGAAGAGGACCAACAGGAGGAACAAGAACAAGCAAAUGUGUACCGAGUCAGCUAAGAUGGUCACUGCAGCUCAAGGAGGUCAAGAUCGUCAACUCAAGUCACCUUUCUUGAUCAAGAAGGACGACCCUGGUGUUCCAAGCAUCGAGUGCACAAUCAAUGGAUUUUCUUUUCAGAAGACACUCUACGACACUGGAUCUAACGUCAACAUAAUGGCCGCAGUCACUUAUCAGCUCCUGCAUGGAACCAUGUCCCUACAACCAACAUACAUUCAGCUCCAGAUGAUUUUAAGGUUAUUGACAUGGGAGAAGACAAGUACGAUCCACCCAUCAUCCUUGGAAGACCGUUCCUCAGCACUGUUAAAGCAAUCAUCUACAUUGGAACCGGAGAAGUCCACGUGCACUUCCCCUCUGAGAAGGUACGCUGCUAUUUUACUGACUUUAACUAUAUAGUUAAAGACUCUAAGCAGGUCAGGACAAGAAGAAGACGACGCAACCGCAACCAGAGAAGGCAAAUCAUCAAGGACGGAUGGGCGGACUACGAAGGAGAAGUGGUAAUGUCUGAAGACAUACAGCUUGAACAGAACUGUCCUGAGGAGACCGUAGCACCGAGUUAGGUGUGGAGAAAGAAGAUAGUUAUACAUGAAGAGGAGGCACCGCCGGAACCACCGACUACGCCAUCCAGCGAAUCCCAAGACGACUGAGGAAACGGAGAGUCCCAUUCGGAGGACUUAAAAACACCGAACGCCUUGCUCCAUAGAAUUAAAGGAUCAAAGAAGACUAGUAGACGGAGGACAUCCUAAUCAAUGUCAGGGUGCUGCCGACAUUCAAAUACACCUCCGCCACCUGCUACAUCAAAAGGAAUUACGUCAAAAUCCAGCUUGGGGGAGAGCACCUCCAUUUAUCCAGCUAAGUAUUCUACUCACGUUUAUAUUUUACUCAAAUAAUAAAAAGAAGCAUAAUCAUAAAAACCCAAAUAAAGAUUUUGUGCUUAUAUAUAUCUUUGCUUAGUUUGCUAAAUAAAUAAAUAAAUAAAAUUUGCAAUGAACCCUCAUGAUAAGCUCUCACAUGGAAAUGAUGAGUAGUUGCUCUGCCAUGACUAGUUCUCCAAAUUGAAAUCUCUCUCAAGUUUAGGCAUGACUGUUAUUAAUUAAGAUUUGCUCUAAACCUAAACUUGUGGGAAGAGUACUUGAUCUGAAGUCUAAGUCGUUAACGGAUAUGAUAUGGGAAGGUUGAGCUGCUAUUUAUCUGUUCCUAGAGAUGCUAGAAUUCUGGAGAAUUUUAUCUUUGAAAAUCUUUAAAAUGUUGCAUGAUGAGUUCCUGUAUGAUGAGAGUUUAAAUUCCUACCACAGCCAUAUAUACAUGCUUGUUAGACUAUGAACCACACAUUUACUUUUUACUGCUUAUGAGCAUUGAGUGUGGUCAAGCUGUGUAGACCCUUAGGAGCUUGUCAUGUGGUUAAAUCAAGAUUCACUUGCACGUUCACUCAUACAUGCUGCUUCUACUCCGGAAGUACCAUCCACAUAUACCCAUUUCCAUCUCCAGAACCACCCAAAAAUAUUCUACUCCUAAUCUGGGAGAGAAUAGCCAAAAAUAUUUCUGUUUUUCCCCUGUGAAAUAAAUGCUCAAGUUAUCUUGUUACUACCACUUGCUACAUUAUUUCAAGAGAUGAGUGCUCUAAAAAAGAAAAAAAAUAAAUACGAGGAAAUAAAAAGGGGCAAGUGCCCGGAACCUCGAAAGAAAAGAAAAAAAAAGAAGUGAGACGAGAGGUAAAAAUGGACAAGUGUCCGACAGUAGAAUUAGGGGUACAAGAUACCCACCUGAGAGAAAAGAAAUAAAGAAAAUAUAGAGCAUAUCAUUCUCCUCAAAAAGUUUCAAAAGAGCAAGAAAGGUAUGUAUCCCCUCAAAAGAGCAAAAGUAGAAUUAGACUUUCACCAUUAUCACCAUCAUCACCAUACACCAUUCAUUCACCACACAUGCACAUCUUGAUUUGACUUAUUGACUUGUUCUUCUGGAUCCAUGGUUUGACUAUGCAAUAAAUGUCUUGUAAGUAUGUAUUAGCUGUCUCCCACCUAUGAGCUCCAGAUAUCAAAACCUUAUUAGAGUAGGGUGAGAGAGAAGGCAAUGUCACUAUGCCUCAUACCAAAAAUACCACAUACUUUGAGAGAAGGCAUACACCAUUACUGCCUUGGUAAGGAUCCAGAAAUACCACAAAAGAGAGACUAGAGAGAGUCAUACAAGGAAUCUCUGAGUUUUAUUUUAAAAUCUGCAAAAACUCCAGAGCUAUAGUUAAUCAAAGAACAAGAGACAUGGCGCUUGACUAGACUGUUCUAUCUUUUAACUACUCAAGACAGAAGUGACGGUUACAAGUCCCAUGGUGAAAGGUAAAUGAGUAAGUUUUAAGUCUUAACAGUUUACUCUAACCAGAGAUGAGAUCUUGUUUAAACGCAUGUGUAUCUUUAAGGCAUGAAACCACUGUAGAAACUCUUGAGUCCAUCUUUGCUCAGGGACGAGCAAAGGUUAAGCUUGGGGGAGCUUGUUGACGGUCCUUAAUGCUCAUAUUUAACCAUGAAUUAAUCAUAGAAAAGGAUCCAAAUGCAACCAACACCUAGACUUAGGGUUUUAUCUGACAGAAUUCCACAAGUUUUGGUGUUUGUCUAUUUCUGCAGGGGGUUAUCAGGAAAUAUGGAAGAAAGGCCCACACGUCGGGUUUACAUAGAGAUAUUAAUGUGCCACGCAAUUUUCUAUCAUCUAGAAGACUCUAGAAGCCACGGGACCGAAGCGGAAGCCGAGAGGCCUCAGGGACAGGGCGCCCGCCCUAGUCCUGAGGGCGCCCGCCCACCUCUUUCCACCAAUCAGGGUGAAGUUCGAGGAUCAUGCUCCACCGACCUAAUACUUCAAGGAAAACCACACGAUCAAUGUCGGUUUGAUCCGACGGCCCAGAUUCACUUGAAGGGACUAUAAAACGAGACCCCCCUGGCCCCUGGAGAUCAUACCUCUUCUACAGAAUCAAAGCUAGGGUUUCAAUUCUUCAUCCAAGUAGAGAGGAUCCCUCUAGUUCUUCUAGUUCUACCUCUAGUUCAUCUAGAUCUAGUUCUAGUUCAUCUAGUUCUAGUUCUAGUUCCUCUAGUUCUAGUGCUAGUUAGUUCUAGUUGUAAUCAAGAAAAUAGGGAGAGAGAAGAGGAGAGCAGAGGAGGAGCCAGAUCUGUCGGAUCUUCCUCAACAUUGUACUUUUGCAGCAUCUGGUUCGUUCUUCAUCGUUCUCCAGGUUCUUCAAUUCAUAAAUCCUGAGUUCUCUAAUUACUUUUAUUUACAUUCAAGUUAUUUAUUGGAUUCCCGCUUGCAUCAAGUGCUCUAAUCUUUGAAACAUUAGAGUAGUAAUUAAUAGAUUAGACGUGGUGUUUAAUCUUGCGAUUACCUGGAAUUGCACCCAAUCCUGCGGAUUGUUGUGGUAGCCUUAGGGUAGUGACAGCCCUAACGGUCGACGUAUUCCACCUCGUUCAGAUCGGUGUUUGUAGGACCGUAGUCGGAGCUUCCUAGCCCCCUUCUCAUCUCUUUCCGUGGUUAGUGUUCUGAUGUCCCGAUAUAGAUAAUCUUGAUGUAAUUCUUGAUUCUUAGAUCAACUAGAGAACUCUCAGGAAACUUCCUCUCUUCCCACCAAAAAUACUUAUAUAGUUAUCCUUGGGCGAUCUUGGAUCUUAAUUAGUACACUCACGUUCCCUGUGGAAAAUCGAUACUCUGGAAUACUCCCGGGUGAAGGCUACAUCGGUAUCCGUGCGCUUGCGGAUUUUUAUGUUUGCGUUUAAAAUACCCAACAACCACCUCGGCUAUCGACCCAAAAACGCAUAGAAGGGGAGGACUAUAUAAGCGAGGCCCCCCUGGCCCCUGGAAGACAUGAAGAAAUUAUCAUAGAGACUGAGGGGUGCCCUCGAAGGAAAACCUCUUCUCUAAUUAAUAUUUCUUUUUAGGCUUAGCAAUCAAUGUAAGGUAGAAAUAGAUCUUCUAGUUUCUACUAGAUUGAGAGAGAUAGAGUGGAGGUGUAGAGUGGAGGAAGCCCGGCCUGUCGGUGUCUACUCCAAGCUUGUACCUGCGGGAUCAAGUUCUCCUAACCCAAAGCUUGCUCCUAGGAUUCUUCAGUAAUUCGACUUCUAAAUUCUAGUAAGUUCUUGUUUUAUUGUUCUUAUGGUUUAUGAGUUUACUUUAAUCUCUUCGCGUAGAGUUUAGAGUAAUCAUUGCUGGCAUAAACGUGGUGUUUAGGCUGGGGUACUCAUAGAUAUUCCCUGACUAGCUGGACCGUGGUAGUAGUGAGGAACGUGACAUUUCCGAGCUACCUUUGUAGAUCACAUCUCAUUAGCAGGAAGGAUAGGAUUUAUAGGUGCGGGUUGAACAUCCUUUGUGGUGUCUAGAUUCCGUUAGCCUCCCCAUUAGAACAGUAGAUCAUCCUUACCAAGGUUAGAAGGAGACUACGGUUGAAGUCUUCUCUAUUUAUCACUCACAUCGAAAGACAUUCUUUGUGCCUAAAGGUUAGUAGUAAUAGACCGGUUAGUCAGAUGCACUCUUUCUCCUAGUGGUAAAAAAAUAAAUACGAUACUCUGGAUAAUUUCCCGGGUGAAGUGCUCACCGAUAUCUGUGCGCUUGCGGAUCAAUUCCUUAUUGCGUUCCCAAAUAUCAACACCUGUUACCAUGACCUAACAUCAAUGACUUUGCCUCUGCAAAACACACGUUAGUCACAGUAAUCAAUAUUGUCAUUAAUCACCAAAACUCAUUAGGGGCCUAGAUGCUCUUUCAUCAUGGAAUGAGCGUCACAUUUGUACUAUGAUGACGAAAUGCAUUUUUUCGUCAUAGAUGCGUAUGUAUCAUAGAUGAAUUUGGCGUUGUCAUAGAUGUGUAUUCAUUCUAUGAUGAUGUGAUUUUGUCAUUGUUGUAGUCACUUUUUCGUCAUAAUGUGCCGUCUGAUAGUUGAUUAGACGCCGUCUACCAUGCUAGUUGCUGAUGUGGUAGGUGACUUGGCAUGCCACGUGGCAGGUGAUGUGGAACGUGAGUGGCAUGCCGCGAGACAGUUGACGUGGCAUGCCAUGUGUCUGUCCACGUGGUAGGUGACAUGGCGGGCCACGUGUUGGUCCACGUGUCCUCUAUUGUGGCCAAGCACGUGGCAGCUUGCGUGGCCAAUGACAUGGGUGCUCUCGUGCCAUUUUAUUGGCCACGUGUCCAUUAGGUUUCGUCACUGAAUUGUUGCCAUGGUUGGGCUCUCGGACAUCUCCUUCGACCCUAGGCUCAAGUUCGCCAACCAGAUCUCGCUGCGCUUUGGCUGCCCGGUGAGUCCGAUUCCCUCUCAACUUUCCCAACCCUUCAGGUUGGUCGCAAGUUUUGGCCGUUCAGCCCUCCGUCUCAAUGAGGAUUCAGUCGGUCUCUUACUGCAAUCCUGCCUGGGGGGUUGCAGCAAAGAUUUUCAUGUCAAACAUUUGUCCGGUUGGAUGUUCAGCUUUCACGUUUCCUGCAAGAAGGUGGGUUUUUUGAUCAAGAAUCUGAGAACGUUUUCCUGCCGUUUGUUCGCCAUUUUCUUUUACCUUUGGGGAAAUGGUGGUCCAAAUUGGGUUAGAGAAUUCAACCUUUGGAUAGAUGUACAGAAUGCCGAAUGGACCACGGUUUCUCGCAAACCAAAGAGGUCCUCGGUUAUUCCUAAAAGUCAACCCGAGCUGAAAAGCUAUGCUGAUAUAGUCAAAUCCACUCCCUCAUCUAGAAUAUCAUUGUUUAAGCGCCUUCACUAUCCGAAGGACUAUGCAGAUUCUUUACUGGGAAACAAUCAUAAGCUUGAUCUCUCUACCCCUGAGUUUGUCAGAUCUCGUCAAAAUUCAAACUCAAAUUCAAUUGUGCUGAGGCGACCCCGCCAAUCUCGGCCUCUUUCUGUUUGGAAACCCAUCUCUCGAGCUGAUCCUCAAGAGUCUCCCCAAGUUUUCGCGGCUCGGUUGGAUCUUGCCAAACCCAUUUGUGGGCCUUUGAAUCGUUGCACACGCUGCCUGGGCCUGGGUCACGAUCGUAUCUCCUGCAAAGGCAUGCUCCGUUGCGAGAUUUGCUUCCGGUAUGGGCACUCCCGAAAAUCUUGCCUUUCCAAAUCCAAGUCCCAGAAAUUUCGGCCCGUUACUGUUAAGGAAGCUGAAGGGUCUCGACCGAGGGAUAUAUAUUCCCCUUCCUCGAGUCUCACGGAUACAUAUCCCUCCGCCUUAGUGCUCCCCCAACCAACAGUCCCAGAACCUCCCUCGAGCUCUCCGAUGGCGAACUUUGCCGCGGACCCUAGGCCCUUCGUCCCCAAGGGCUUCGUGCUGGAUGACGUCCACCCUUCACCGUUGCUGCGUCACGAAGUCUAUGUCACUGGGUGCUACAACAAGACCAACGAGGACCUGGCUAUUGCAAAGCUCUCUCCACCAGUACACAAAGCUGACUUCCGUCUGCUGGCCAGGGAACUCAAGACCUUCUUCCGUGAUGUGCACCAAGUCCACGGUACUGAGAUCUCACCCUGCCCUAUUGGUGAUGCUUUCAUCAAGUUCAACAAUCCUUUUGAGCGUGAUAGAUUCUUGGGACCAAAUUUUAUGUUUGGAAAUUACUCCUUGCACUUCAUCCGACAUGAUGAGGCGGAAAAUGCCAGAGCCUUCUCCAUCGAUCGUGAAGCCAUGAUUCUGAUCCUGGCCUAUCCUGAAGAUCUGAGAUACACGUAGCAUGUAGCAUGCGCAGUUUCACAGUUUGGCAUUCUGAUUGGCUGGGAUGACACCCAGCCGGGAUGUGUCACAGCCAAAGUCUAUCUCAAUGACGACGCCAAGAUCCCUUCUUCCAUCAAGCUGAUCACUGGUCUUCCCCCCAAUGGGAAAUCCUGGACUUCGCCCUGCUACAUCCUGAAGAGAAGCAAUGUCACAUUAUUGCCAGACGAGGAGGGCUUUGUCACCAUCGGUCCACUGCACCCCUUCCCAACGCCUGCUCCUCGCUGGGAAGGACCGGUGCCGCUGGCCAAUCCGAAUGCCAGUCCUAUUCUUUCUGCUACUGGUGGCUCAAACUCCCCAAAAGGUAAGGAUGAAGGUCAGGGAAUGAAGCAGGGUCUAGAAGCAGAGAUUGGAGAGCCUGGACUCGUGGCAGAUGCAACUGUUUUUGCAGACAGGUACCAACCAAUCCCUCCAGGGUUCAACAGAGACAGCCCCAGGAUCAGGUCAGUGAUAGUCGGUACAACCUGGGAGGAGCGCUCCAAUGCUUCACCGGUAAAGUUGAAUCUGAACUUGGACAUAAAUAAGGUAUUCAAUUACAUCUCAAAAUCUCCUGCUUCUAGUGUUUUCAUCUUCCUAAAUCAUUUGGAUAUUAACCCUGAUCUUCCCAUCCCCUCAUACUUUUGUGACUUCCUGACCUUGGCCUGGUUGGCCUUCCUCAUCCCUGACCAGGACAUGGACGUGACACCCACGAGAGCUGAACUAUUGGAGAUCACUGAAGAGGAGGUGAUGGAGAUCUCAGGCAACCAGUUCACUCAGAAAAAGAGAAAGAUCUCCAAGACCAAACAGCAAAUGCAUGACCGUCACCUCAGGCGCAGCAAAAGGAGCACCAUCAAGCAAGGUGGUUUCAAGAAAGAUGUGCUCCAUCCAAUUCCCCUGGCCAUGGUCCCUGCAUCCCCAAAGACGUCAGCUCCAGAACCAGCUCCAUAUCUGCCGAUGGAAGUUGCCCAGGGAAUUGCCACUGGCUUCCUGCAGAUCCAUCCUAGCGAUGUGUCUGCCGCCAUUUUCAAGAAGGAUGCUGAUGGAAUCUGAAGAAGUUAGUUCUUGGUCCCUGCACUCUAGGAGAAGAGUGCAUCUUUUGUUUAAGUCUAGCUUUUUUUUCCCUAGCAAGAAACACUCCUUUCCCUCCCAGCUUGCAUGCUGGUUAUCUUUUGUUCCUGUGGUUGUUUCUAUUCAGCAGUUUGCUUUUGAACAGUUUCGUUGUGGGUUGACAUGGCAUGGCUAUGAAAAGUCUAUCUUUUGGUAUCUCACUGAGUCUUAUGUUGCUAACUCCCAUGGGGGUGUUAAUCUUCUCUCUCUCCCUUACUGGUUUAACGAUGAAUAACACCAGACAAUUUAACAUCCUAGUGUGGAACAUAAGAGGAAUAAACUCCCAGGCCAAAUGGGACGCAAUCAGAGCCAAAAUAGCAGAAAGCUCAUGCCAAGUUCUUUGCCUGCAAGAAACCAAAAGAGAACUAUUUGACAGCCUCUACCUUAAGAAAUUUUGCCCAAAACACCUAAAUUGCUUCGCUUUCUCACCGUCAGUCGGUGCCUCGGGAGGUAUCAUCACCAUCUGGAAUGGUAAGAUCUUUGAUGGAAUAGUAGUUCACUCGAAUGGCUACUAUGUGACAAUGAAAUUCGUGAAUAAACUGGAUAGGACUGCUUUUCAUCUCUCCAAUGUCUAUGGCCCCUCUCAAGCUGAAGCAAAAAUGGGUUUUAUUACAUGGUUACUAAAUACAGACUCAGAUGAUUUAGACGAUUGGAUCAUAGCAGGUGAUUUCAUUCUCUAUAGAUCAAUAGAUGACAGAAAAAACCAGGUGGAGACAUCAAUGAAAUGCAGCUAUUUAACGAUCUCAUCUCUGCUCUUGAUCUAGUUGAACUCCCUUUUAAUGGCAGAUCCUUCACCUGGAGUAAUAUGCAGUCUGACCCUCUGCUGAUCAAACUAGACUGGGUCUUCUGUUCUCAGAGCUGGAGCUGGGCACACCCUUCGACCAAGGUCCAAUCCCUGGAUAGACCCAUCUUUGAUCACACCCCCUUUAUUAUCUCUUUUGGCAGCUCCAUUCCCAAAUCCAAUAUCUUCAGAUUUGAAAACUUUUGGACAGAGCAUGCAGAUUUCCUUAAAAUAGUCAAUCUACACUGGAAUACAACCCCAUACUUUGCCAAUGCGGCCAAAACCCUCAAUGCAGAAUUUAAACAAGUUAGGAUUGGACUCAAGAAAUGGAGGAAAACCUUACAAAAUUUCAACCGACUUCUACACAACAGUGAAUGGGUCCUGCUUCUACUUGAUGGCCUUGAGGAACAAAGGCCACUCUGUGAGGUAGAACAAUCCCUAAGAGACCUUGUCAAAAGGCACAUAGCCAGUCUGUUGGAAUCUAGACGGAUAUACUAGAAACAAAGAAACACCAUCAGAUGGGUUAAGCUUGGAGAUGAAAAUAGCAAGGUUUUUCAAGCCAUGGCAUCCAUAUCACAUAGAAUGAACAGCAUUGCCAGCCUGACAUUACCAGGGGGAGACAUCCAAGUGACAAAUCAUGAACAAAAGGCAGGACUGCUCUGGGCCAAUUUCAAAAACAGAAUGGGUGUCUCUGAGUUCUCGAACAUCACUUAUGACUUAAAUAGCUUACUAGACAGACAAGACCUCAGGCAAAUUGAAGGUAACUUCGAUGACGCGGAUUUUGAGGCUGUCGUUAAAAGUAUUCCACUUGAUCAUGCCCCGGGUCCUGAUGGUUUCAAUGGGAAAUUCAUAAGACACUGCUGGCCCAUUAUCAAAAACGAUUUUCAGAGAUUAUUCAAAGAUUUCUUCAACAACAACAUUGAUCUUACAAGUAUCAAUAGUUCCUACAUCGCCCUUAUUCCUAAAAAAGACCAUCCAGAGACAGUGGACGAUUACAGGCCUAUUUCGUUGCUCAACUGCUCAGUUAAGUGCAUUACAAAACUCCUAUCUAUUAGACUUCAGACAGUAAUCACAAAACUCAUCCAUCCUAACCAAUAUGGUUUCAUCAAAGGCAGAAUCAUUCAGGACUGCCUUGCCUGGGCCUUCCAAUUCCUACACCUUUGUCAUCAUUCUAAGAAAGAGGUUGUAAUCUUGAAGCUAGAUUUUGAGAAAGCUUUCGACAAAAUUGAGCAUCAAACUAUUCUAGAAGUGAUGAAAUUCAAAGGUUUCAAUAACCACUGGCUAAAUUGGAUCAAAGCAAUUCUGGACUCUGGUAAUUCCUCAGUUCUCCUGAAUGGGAUCCCUGGGAAACCUUUUCACUGCAAGAGAGGUGUAAGACAAGGAGACCCUCUCUCCCCACUCCUCUUUGUGUUUGCAGCUGAUUUGCUCCAAAGUAUCAUCAACAAAGCUUGGCAUGAUGGCAUCCUAAACCACCCUCUCUCAAACAACUUUGAGGACUUCUUUCCCAUUGUUCAGUAUGCUGAUGACACACUUCUCAUCCUGCCAGCAGAAGCUAAACAACUUUUCACUCUAAAAGGACUACUUAGAGGUUUCUCUGAUUCAACAGGACUUAAUGUGAACUUCAGCAAAAGUUGUCUUCUGCCCAUUAAUGUCUCUGAAGCUUGGCUGUCCCACCUAGCAUCCACCUUCGGCUGCAGGGUUGGAAGCAUGCCCUUUACUUAUCUUGGCCUUCCUCUUGGAACCACAAGACCUUUAGUUCAGGACUUCACUCCUUUACUCUCCAGAAUGGAAAGAAGACUCUCGGGUUUUAACUGAUUUUUGUCCUACCAGGGAAGAUUGAUACUGGUCAACUCAGUCCUUUCUGCUCUCCCUACCUACUAUAUGUGCACGCUGUCCAUCCCAAUUCAGGUUCUGGAACAGAUCGAUAGAUUCAAAAAAACAUUGCAUCUGGAGCAAAGGUGAUAUCAAUAGAAAGGGCACAUGUCUGGUAGCCUGGAAAGAAUUGUGCAGAGCCAAAGCUGAAGGAGGCUUAGACAUCAUCAACUUAGAAAAUCAAAACAAUGCCCUCCUUAUGAAGUUCCUCGAGAAAUUCUAUAACCAUGCCCCAGUCCCCUGGGUCCAGUUGACAUGGUCCAAGCUUUAUCGCAAUGAGAACAUACCACCGCAUGAAAAAAAUCCCUGUGGCUCCUUCUGGUGGAAAGAUGUUUUAAAACUCUUCCCGAAAUUUAGAAGUUUUGCCAGUGCAAGCCUGGGAAGGGUAACACCACCACUCUUUGGUUUGACAAUUGGUCAGGACAACCGCUGGAAGGGAUUUUUCCUCAUUUAUUAUCGUUCUGCAGAAAGAAACACUGGUCACUGAAGUUUUUUGUAGAGAAGGACCCAGAACUCACCCUCUUUCUGCCACUGUCAGAGCAAGCAGCUGAUCAGCUGUAUGAUCUAGAUGCAAUCCUAACUCUAAACCUCGUAAGCUUAGAAAGUGCUGAUUCUUGGGAAUACAACUGGGGAAACAUCUUCUCUCCCAGAAAUGCAUACAACCAGCUCCAAGGCCAAGUUAACGCUUCUCCGAUCUUCAAUUGGAUUUGGAAAGGGGGUAAUCUUGGCAAACAUAAAUUUUUUGCUUGGCUACUGGUUAGGGACCGUUUGUGUACAAGAAACCUCCUCAAGAGGAAAAAAUGCACCUGGACAGCUAUGCUUGUGCUCUCUGUUCUCUUAAUCCGGAGGAGACUUGUUUACACUUGUUCUUUACCUGUGCCUUCAGCCAAUCCUGCUGGAACUGGCUACUUAUUGACUGGGAUCUCGAUCUACCUCCUCAUGAGAUGCUGACAAAAGCCAGAACAGAUUUUGGAAGCCACAUCUUCAGAGAAAUCUUCAUCACAGCAGCGUGGAUGAUUUGGAAAGUCAGAAAUGGUGUCACUUUUGACAAUAAGGCAGUCUCUCUUACUGAAUGGAAAAUCUUGCUAAAAGAAGAGUUAGGCUUGGUGUGCAUCAAAGCCAAACAGAGGAUUGCUGACUCCUUAAAAGUCUGGUGUGAGAAUAGGCUCUAGCUUCCUCUGUAAUUUUGUUUUGGGCCUUGAAGGCCUUUGUAUUCAUUAUUCUUUGUACAUAUAUCAAUAAAAUGAAAAAAAAAUAGGUAGGGGACUUCCCUGCCGAUAGCGUCAAAUAAUUUUAUCACAGACAUGUUAAAAUAUUCAUCACUGAUGCAGCACAUUGAUUUCAUUACUAAUAUAGAAAUAAUGAUAGAACUCAAGCAGUGACCAUAGAACUCAGUUCACAUUCUGGACAUAACACUCCAACUACCAGUUUCAUCUCAGGUCUAAUUAACAUAACAUGCUAACAAUAAAAUUGGCAACCAGCAGCAACAUACGUUUUGCAUACACAAAAUAACCAGCAGACUAGCAGAAUAGCAGCUAACAGUAGCGCUCAUGUCAAAGACCCAGCAUUGAGGGACAAGAUACGCCUGAGCAGCGCAUUGUUCUCCUCCAUUGCCUUGUUGUUUUUCUCUGCUAGCUUCUUCAUCUCCUCCAUCUCCCUUUCUGUCCUCGCUAGCUUCUCCUCAGCUUCUUCACUUCUCUUUCUGAGCUUGUCUAGUUCAGUUUGAACAGCAGCUGUAGCUUGAGCUGCUAGUUCUUCUCGAAGCUCGCUUUCAUUGGUUGAUGAUGAUUUGGAGGAUGCCACUAGUUUUAUGCCAACACUCUUUAGUAAAAUGCUUGAGCUAGUCUGGGAGAGCACCUGGGACACAACCUGCACGCUAGAUGCUGCUGUCUCACCUUCAGCAAUAGGUUGUGCCUUCAAAGCUUCCAUAUUAUCCUAAAACAGCAAGGACCAAGGAAAUAUCAGAACAGUUGUACUUUUAAUUAUGAAACCCUAUGCUGCAUUGACAAAAACUAAUGCAUAUUUGAUAGUUUACUGAAUACAACUAGAAGGUGACAAUAGACUAUAGAGAGGUAGAAGGAAACCUAGUAAAAUGGACAAGAUAGGUUGUAGUACAAUUUAUCUAAUUUGUGUUGUGGAACAUUAUGUAAAAUGUAGUUUGGUAGUCAAGGUUAAAAUAUUAUGUAAACAGCAAGGACCAUUUGCAGUCAACAUCUGUCAAGUAUUAACAGACCAGAAUUAUUUGAAGGAUAAAAUAUUACCACUCCAACACGACACUAACCUUUCCAAAAAUGACAAGCAGAUAGGCCCAUUAAUUGUAGAGUAAGGUAGCUAAGUUUCCCAUGAUAAGAAGCUGCAUCUUUCAGUUGAAAUUUUAUAGAUUCAAAAGCACAAUAUGCAAUGUAAGCAAUGGGAUCAGUAAUGUGUUGAUUCCAAAAAUUUUUACUAAACAGGUAGUAUGCAUCUGUCAGCCUUAUAAUAUAGCGAAAACAGGUUGCUUUACCAGAUAAUACACAAAAAGGUUGCACACGUGAAAAACUAAAAGCAUGGGCUUUAGAGACUUUGCUGCAGUUAGGUUGCUUCCAUCCAAGAAAAUAACUCAUUCAACCAUUCACUGUCUGAUACAUUGCAGUUUUAAUGUAGUAUAUAAUUUAUGAUUGAAUGUAGAUUUUUCCCAAAAAAAGAACAACCUUCAAUUAGUAUUUAACUUAUUUAGCAAGUUCAUAUCUAUGUUAGAUGUUGACAAGUUUUGAGCAAAAGACACAAUACAAAAUGAUUGAAAAGGACAUGUUAUCCUAUUGAUGAGCAAAAGGGCACAACAAAACAUAUGUUGGGACUUACAACUGCUUCUCUUGCUAGUUCAUUGAGGCCAUUUUUGGAGCUGGUAUGGCAGGUCUUGAAAUGUCUUGAUUUUGUUCUGAGCUUGGUUCAGCAUUGUUUCUCCUCUGCUUCUGUUUUGUAGACAAUCAAUUACAGCAAAUAUUUGUGAGAUCAAAUGCAGAAUAACUUGUCUAGUGUUUACAUGUACAAGGUACAUUCAAUUACAACAAAUAUUUGUAAGAUCAAAUGCAGAAUAACUUGUCUAGUGUAUACAUGCAUGUUGACACUUACUAAGACCACUUGAAUACUAGUUUGUCAUCCCCAGCAUGGUGCCAGAGUGUACAAAGGUAUUUAUAAAUGUAAAGGCUCUCUAGAAAAUAAUCUAUUCUAUCCGCAAGCGCAUAGAUAAAAUACCUCAUUGUAGCAUUUCACUAGGAAAGUAUUCCGGGUAUCGUUAUUUAUAAUUUUGCUUAAGAGAACGGUGGAGGUAAAUAAAAUCUAUCAAGGCAUAGACUAGAGAUAAACUUGUAAGGACAUGAUUACUAAUGAGAAACUCAUCACACAGUCACUUGCUUUAGCAGGGGGUAGGCCAUAAUAACAAUGAUAAUGAAAUAUAAGCUCAUGGGUAAAUAACACAGCGAUUAGAAAAUAGACUACUCCUCAUAUAUGUAAGGUGACGUCGGAUUAGCCAGAGAAUGGAUUCUAAGUUAUCUACUAUCUACUAAGUCACAAUCUACUCUAGUUAUCUACAAGAUCAUAUAUAGCAUAAAAGACUCUUCAUUCAUGUAUAAGGAACAUUGCUAAAGUAAAUCAGAACAUCGCAAGACUUACUCCGCAAUACAAAUUGUGCCUGUCCUAUCAACAGAGGGUGGACUAUAUAAGAAUCAACAAAGCUGUCACCAUCGUGAACUACCACACGACCCGGCCAAUAGGAUACAUUUGUAGGUAAAUAACACCUAAGCACCACGCCCACAUGUGAUCUACCACUUAACUCUCGCGCGUCAAGAGCUAAGCGUUUUGCAAACUCAUACAUAAACUCAUUAUCAGUCAUAACUAUAUCAAAUAUAGAACUAGAGCAAACAAAGAACAUAAUAAAUAGAGACAUAAUGCAAUUAGAAUAAAGUAGUAGAGAAAGAUAUGAAAUAAUACCAAUGUUUAUUGAUGAAGAUCUGAAUCCAGAGCGUUAGGCUCUACUUCUCUAAUUCUAUCUAAUCAAUCCUAUAGAACUUGACGGAAUUGGGAGUAGCUAAUUCUAAUUCUCUGUGGGAGAGAAAUUCCUAAACCCUAACUUUGAUGGCUUCCUUUGAUAAUGAUUUCUCCUUCUCCCCUGGGGUGGAGAGGCCUUGCUUAUAUAGCCCCCUCAAGUGAAUGUGGGCUGUCGGAUCAAACCGACAUAAAUCACACAGUUAUUCUUGAAGAUUAAAGGUGGUGGAGCACGAUCCAGGAGACCUGCUCUGAUUGGCCACCAGGGCAUAAAGAUGGCAACGGGUACCCGAAACCCGAUGGGUUUUUACCCUAUUAGGGUAAAGGUAUGGGUCAAUUUCUCUACCCGUGGGUUUGUUAAUGGGCAAAAAGACAAACCUAGUGGGUUUAUGGGCAUGGGUCUGGGGGCGUAGUACCCAAACCCAUAAACCCAUGGGUUUUUUAAACCCGAUCUAUGAUGCCAAUCAUAAACUUUUAAUUAUCACAAAAUAAUUAGAAAACAAAAGAUAGAAAUGAAAAAAAGGAAAUAUAGGACACUCCUUACGUGAAUAUAUACAAAAACUAGCUAGCUGGCCAUGGUUAAUUGCAUGCACUCAAUUUGAUUGGUCUGGGGUACAAAGCUGGGCAGACCGUGGCCCAUGUGCAUGGCCAUCCAUGCAAGCUAGGACAGCUGCAGCGCACUGUCUUAUUAUGGGCUUGGCCUUUUGAGCCCAAUUGCUGAAAUCAUUUGAGUGCUAUGUAGUGCUUCACAGGCAGCAAACAUACAUUUAGUCCCACCUUGCUAGUUAUGCACACCUGAAGCUGUGUGCACUCUAUAAAGCCAACACAAAGCAGCAGUGUGCACCAUAGAACUGAAGCCUGCAGUUUCACGGGCACGGGCAACCCACGGGUAACCCGUUACCCACUCGGGUACGGGUGUGGGCGUUAAUUUGUACCCGUCUGCGGGUAUGGGUUUCUUAACGGGUGUAUUUUUUCUUAACGGGCAUGGGUAUGGGAUUAUUGUACCCAGCGGGUAUAUACCCGUUGCCAUCUGUACCAGGGCAGGGCGGGCGCCCAAGGGGGAGGGCGGGCGCCCAGCCUCCGGGCCCGAUUGGUCUCCCGUUCGUUCCCGUGGCUUCUGGACUCUUCUAGAUCAAGGAAAAUUGUGCGACACGUAAUUAUCUCAUUGUAAACCUGACAUGUAGGUCUUCUCUUCAUAUUUUCUAAUAACCCCCUACAGAAAUAGACAAACACCAAAACUCGUGGAAUUCUGUCAGAUAAAACCCUAAUUCUAGAUGUUUGGUGCAUAUUGAUCCUUUUCCAUGUUUAGUUGAUGGUUAAAUUUAGCACUUAAGAACCGUCAACAAACUCCCCCAAGCUUACCCUUUUCUCGUCCCUGAGCAAACAGCUAAACUCAAAUGGAUCAGGAGCUGCUUCGAUGUUUUCUUUCCUGACAGGCACACAUGCUUUCACAUAAAAAUUCUUCCAGAAGUGUCAUGGAGCUUAGUACCUGCACUUAAGUCUUAAGUAAUCGAAAGACAAAAUAAUUAAGUCAAGUACUAUUCCUCCUAUUUAUACUUCACCUUUGUUCUAGAGUUUUGCAUAAGUUUUCAAAAAUAAAACUCAGAGUUCCCAGCUAUGAUUUUCUCAAGUCUCUCUAUAUGUGAUAUUUGUGGAUCCUUACCAAAAAUGUCACUUACCUAUAACUAAUGGAAUAUUUAAGUGGAGCUCAUAGGUGUGAAAAACAGCUCUUACAUAUGUUGUCUAAUCGAGCCAUGGAUCCAAAGGAACUCAGCAUAUAAUUAAAUCAAGAUGUGCAUGUGUGGUGGAGUAAAUGAUAGUGAUGGUAAAAAUGUAUAAGUGAUGAUAAAACAUACUUCUCAUUGCUCCUCAUAUUGCUAUCUCUCCUCCUCUCUUGAUCUUUGCUUUGGGAGAACAUGGGCUAUCUCUUUUUUUUAAGUGGGUAGUAAAUACCCCUAAUUCUACUGUCGGACACUUGUCCAUUUUUUCCACUCAGGUGGGCAUCUUUGUGCCCCUAAUUCUACUCCGGAUACUUGUCCAUUUUUACCUCUCGUCUCACUCUUUUUUUUAUUUCUUUUUCAAGGUUCCGGGCACUUGCCCCUUUUUAUUUCCUCGCAUAUUUUUGCAUAACCCAUGCUUCUUCUGCAUUGAAUCUUUUUGGAGAGAGAGAAUAACAACACUUGGGACAGUGAGUGAUAAUAUUUUUAGCAAUUUUAAUGAAUGGUGGUGGAUGGUGUAGUAGAUGUGUGCAAGUGAAUAUCUUAAUUUAACCACAUGAAAAGCUCCUAAGGGUCUACACAGCUCGAUCAAACUCAAUGUAAAUAUAAGUAGCAAAAGAUGUUAUAGCACGUAUGGCUGUGGUAGGAAUUUUGUCAUGCUAGGAACUCAUCAUGUGAUUUGCAAGUUUUCAAAAUAAAUCUCCAGGACUUAGUGUAGUUGGAACAAGAUAAACAAUAGCUCAAACUUUAUAUCAUGCCUUUCUGUUAACUAGACUUUAGUUUUAGGCUCUGCUCACAUAGAUAUUAAAUUUUAGGUUUUAGUAAUUCCUAGAAGAACAUUAAUAUAAAAGCUAGAUACUUGAAAGUAAGCAAACAGGGCAACUGUUCAUCACUUCCAUCAUGCAUCUUUUUAGUCUUUUUAUUCUUCUAGAGAUUAACACUUAGCAGAUAAAUAAAGCACACUUAUCUACACACUCUUUUUAUUUUGUUUUCAUGUUUAUAGAAUGCAGUAAAUUAAAGCAAGAAAAUAUUUAUUGGGUUUUCUAAGUUUUUUAAGACAAAUAAAACAUUAAAAUAGAAAGGAAUAAUUAAGAAGAGCAAAUAAAAACUUACUUGAUAAAACGGGGAGAAACUCCCCCAAGCUGGAUGUGGUUGUCGGUCUUACCCAAUGUUCCAAAAUCGCAUCGUGGUGGUGAUAUUGUCGUUCAUUGUUGUAGUGUCUUGCCUCAAUUCUUGUACUUCAGUGGCAUGGUCCUGGUUCCACUUUUGUUGCUGUUCCAGGAGUCGUCCAUGUUCUGCUUGCGUAUUCUGGAUGUUGAGGAGGGUGUUGUCGGUACGGGUGAAGAAGGCGCCGGCUUCUUGGUAGUAGUCAUUCGUGAAAGCAUAAGAGGCGUCGGAGUACCGUCCUGCAUCGAAUUGGGGCUGGGGUCUAGACCCUGAAGCUCCAUAUGGAUCAGUGGAGUACCUGCCCAUAUGGAAUGGCGGGUUUGUCCACUGGUGAUCUUGGCCCUCCGGCCAUGUCUCCUGUGUUGGCUCUUGUGGUUGAGCAUGUCGAACCCACGGGUCCCGAAGGACUCGAGGGUUGUAGUCGCAGUAAUGCAGGUGCGCUGCUUCUUCCGGCCCGGGAUCAGCUCCAUACCAGGUGCGUUCUUGAUGGGUGUUCAUCCUUUCAGAUGCCACUCGUUGUGGAGCUCUCUGGUUUACCGGUGUCAUUGCAAUCUCAAUCAAAUAAUUUUGAACAACAUAGAGGCCAAGGUUCAGGUUAGGUAACCGAAUCUUGCCUUUAUUAUCGUAUAACAUGUACAUUACGUUCCCCUCUUUUUUCAACAUCCGAGCUUGCCUAAAUGUGUCAUAGCCACGAUAAAUUCGUAACUCGUCAAUGAAUUCCAAUGACGAGUUUUCUAGCAAAUUGAGAUUGGAGGCUAGAUGAGUGACAAGUGAAGUACAACUGACAGGUCCCUGAAGACUAGGUAUACUAAGCCAAUGAGAAACCAAAAGAGUAAUAGGUGAAGUGGAUAUUUUAUUUAUAGCAGCAUAUAGAAGUUGCAAAUCUCCUACUCUUACUUUUCUAAUAUCAUCACGAUGGAAAAGAUUGUACCCGAGCCACUUGUGGAACAUCCUAAGAGUGUGGUGUUCCAUGUCGCUGGUUCAGGCUUGACUAUAAAACUCAUCCCUAGAUAUCUCUCUCCAGAACUGGUGUCUUUCAAAAUUGGGUAAGUCGGAGCCAAUGUCCAAGAUGAAUCUUGAAGAGAAACCGAGAUGGUCGCUCAAUUCUCUCCAAGACAACAUAAUGUCCUGUUUGAACAUCUAAAAAGCAAUUCCCCCUCAUAAUAUUGUAAAGUGCAAAGGAAUUCAAGGGUGAGAGGACGGGAACCCAGCUCAGUUAUGUUCCAAAAAUUUGUCCAUCCCACUAUGUGGAAAAUCAAGUCAAAUUCAGUAUCCAUACCUGUUUCUUGUAGCAGGAUAGGAUCAAGAGUAGGGGUGUGAAUGAAAUCCUUAUUCUUCAGUUGCUAGAAAACUUCCUUCUCCCUACGGGUAUUCAUUCCAAGGUCUCCUGUCUUGAGGAGGACCUUGACUCGUGGAUCAGAUGAAGAUGACGGAGCUUGUAGGGGCGUCGGGUCGACGCUCAUCUCUGACUGGUGCGAGGAGUGUCGAGACGAACUCCUUGUACCUAUGUUCUUGAGGGCCUUGCCUGCAUUCUUCACCUUUUUGAACAUCCUGUAGACAAAAGUUGACACAAACACAACUGGUGGAAAAUGGUAAAGGUCAGCUGUCUGAAAUAUCAGUAGUCCAGGGGUUAGUUGUCAAGACAAGUUUUUAUUUUGGCGGCACCUCCCCCUGAACAACUUUCCGUUCUGGACAGCAGGAUCACUACUUACUAGGUGAACCGUACUCUCUUACUCAAAAACUACCAACCUCCCUUUCACUCUUCUCUUUCUUUCCUACUCUACUACAAGAGCUCCUUCUCUGGAAACUGAAACUUGCGUGGUUUUCUGGAAUGCUUGUGUGAAGAAGUUGGAGGCAAGAGGUGGCCUUUUAUAGGCUGAAGGGGGGACAGGGUGGGCGCCCACCUUUGGUGGCCAUCCUGGCUGCCUUUUCUCCACUCCCUCCAUUGCUUAGCUCUUACGCAAAAUAAUGUUGAGUGGGUGGUGGUUGGUCGGAUCACAAGAUAUGGUGCAAGACAUGUGGGACCCAAGGAGUGUGGGUCCUGCUUCUAGAAGGUUGCUAUACUUAAAUAUAAUGCAGGAAAAUCUAUGAGAAUUGAAACUUAUUGAAAUGAUAAUGUAAAAUAUUUUUGUGCCUCCACAAUAAUUAAUAAAUAUGGGUUGUCACACACCAUAAAUAUUAUUUAUAUGGGGCUUUUGAUUAUUAAAAUAAUGCUGUGAAUAAAUAUGACUAAUGCAAGAAUGAAAGAAUCUAAACAAUGUGAAAAAAUACCGAUUUACCUCCCAGCGAGGGUUUGAGAUUUUUAGGUCCCCCAAGCUGGACCUCCAAAUCUUUUAAUCUUCUGAAUUACCUUCCUCCGGAGAUGGUGUCUCCAAUGGUUCUUCUUCAUGAACUUCCUUCACUGUAGAGUCUCUCUCUGGUUUGGGCUUGAAUGUGAAGUGCUCUUCUUUUCCGUUUAUGUUGAAUUUGAUUUCUCCCUUUCCAACAUCGAUGUCGGCAUUGGCAGUGCUCAGAAAUGGCCUUCCAAGGAUGAUGGAGACUUUUGAGUCGGGAUUCAUGUCUAGUACCACGAAUUCUACUGGCACAAAGAAAUCUCUUAUCUUGACUGGGAUGUUUUCGGCGAUGCCCAUCGGGUGUCGAACUGAUUGAUCUACUAGUUGCGGGCACAUUGAUGUUGGUUCUAGGGUCGUAUGCUCAAGCUUCUUGUAGACUGCUGCUGGCAUCACACUGACUUGCUCCAAGAUCACAAAGUGCAUUGUUGAAGUGUUGGUUUCCGAUCGAGCAAUCAAUGGUGGGACAUCCUGGAUCCUUCUUCUUCCUUGGUGGUUUGUUGAGGAUGGCUGCACUACAUUCUUCUGUCAGCUUGAUAACCUCAGUGGUGGGCAGUGGUCUCUUCUUGUUAAGAAUAUCUCUGAUGUACUUUGCAUAUGUGGGUACCAAACUGCUCAUCCAGUACUUUGCAGUCUUUUGUUUCUUCUGGGAAAUGGCAAAUAGUUGGUGUCGUAAAAAUCUUUCCUCAUUUCUCCAGUACUUGGUGGUUGUAGCAGAUCUUCUGCUUCAACUGGGCUUUCUUCUUCUAUCACUGCUGGUUGCACUGGUGCUGAUGUUCUCUGUUUCUCUUUUGGGUAUGGGGGAUCCCUGGUGGCUUUGCCUCCUCUAGUAGUUAUAUUCUUUACCUGCUCAAUGUUAGUGGCAACAGGCAAUGCAGUAGCUAGCUUUAUUAAUUUAAGCUCUCCCCUUUUAUUAAGAGUGUUUUGCUCAUCAAAGGCAGUUAAUAGAAAAUCCAUUUUAUUGUGUAUAUUUUUUAGAGAUGAUUCAUUUGUAUCUAGCCUUUGUUUAACUUCAUCACUAGUUUUGGUUUGUUGAGCAAGUCUCUUUCAAUGAAUGUUGCUUUAAAGUGUUACCUGAUUUCAUACCUUUGCUAUUGGGUUCACUCGAAGUAGGUUGAUAUUUGUAUGCUGUCUCAAUGGCCCUUUGAUCUUCUUUGAACUUGGCCCUCUGGUCAAUCCAAUGGAGCAAAUUUUCCAUCUUGGUUGAUAGUGCAUUUACUUCUUCUGAUAUUUCUUCAGUUUGAUGAGAAUGCUGAGCUUUAUCUUGGAACCAACUUUGGUUUUCUGCUAUCUUAUCCAAAAGUAUCUCUGCUUUUCCAAUUGUAAGUUCCAAAAAUGAUCCAUUAGCAGAUGCAUCUAGGCACUCACGAGCCUUUUGGGUUAAUCCAUGGUAAAAGGUCUGCAUAAGUAACCAUCUGGCCAAUCCAUGGUGAGGACAAUCUGAUAUGUAUCCUUGAAAACGUUCCCAUGCUUCUGAAAUGGUUUCUGUCUUCUGCUGUUGGAAACUGACAAUAUUUCCUCUUAAGGCAGCUGUUUUUCCUAUAGAGAAAAACUUUGAUAGAAAGGCAUCUGACAAGUUCAUCCAGUUGUUGAUGUUAUCUUGAUGAGUGUAGAUCCACUUCCUCGCCUUCCCUUCUAGUGAGAAUGGAAAAAGGCGAAGCAGUAUGACGUCUUUGUCGACUCCGUUGAUACGGAUUGUGCUUCCAAUCUCUAAGAAAUUCCGCAAGUGUGCACUAGCAUCUUCAUGUGCCUUUCCACUGAAUUGUGUAGCUUGUACCAAAUUGAUGAGGCUUGACUUGAGCUCGAACUCUGGUGCUCCUUCUUCUACUGCAAAUCUUGGACCAGUUGGAAUGCUCUCAAGACUUGGAGCAGAGAAUUCUUGCAAGGUCUUUGGUGCCAUAGCUUUAGCAAUUGGUAGGUAGCUUCUUCUUUCUUUCUUGAUUGUUUUGGUUCUGAUGAUGAAGAGUUGAAUAUACCAAAGUCAAUCCUGAUAUACCCUGUAUAAAAAUAUAAACAUAGAAAAACAACAGGGUGAACCUGCCAAAGCAGAGGUGCCUUGUUAUGAUUUCUCACUUAGUAGCUAUUUUAUACAAUUAUUUCUCCAUAGUCUAGUCUAAUAUUUUAUGUGAAUAACCUUGACUGACUUCCUGACUUUCCUUACCAUUCCCUGGCAACGGCGCCAGAAAUGCUUGUUGACACUUACUAACACCACUUGAAUACUUGGUUGUCAUCCCCAGCAUGGUGCCAGAGUGUACAAAGGUAUUUAUAAAUGUAAAGGCUCUCUAGAAAAAAAUCUAUUCUAUCCGCAAGCACACAGAUAAAAUACCUCAUUGUUUCAUUUCACCAGGAAAGUAUUCCGGGUAUCGUUAUUUAUAAUUUUGCUUAAGAGAACGGUGGAGGUAAAUAAAAUCUAUCAAGGCAUAGACUAGAGAUAAACUUGUAAGGACAUGAUUACUAAUGAGAAACUCAUCACACAGUCACUUGCUUUAGCAGGGGGUAAGCCAUAAUAACAAUGAUAAUGAAAUAUAAGCGCAUGGGUAAAUAACACAGCGAUUAGAAAAUAGACUACUCCUCAUAUAUGUAAGGUGACGUCGGAUUAGCUAGAGAAUGGAUUCUAAGUUAUCUACUAUCUACUAAGUCACAAUCUACUCUAGUUAUCUACAAGAUCAUAUAUAGCAUAAAAGACUCUUCAUUCAUGUAUAAGGAACAUUGCUAAAGUAAAUCAGAACAUCGCAAGACUUAGUCCGCAAUACAAAUUCUGCCUGUCCUAUCAACGGAGGGUGGACUAUAUAAGAAUCAAUGAAGCUGUCACCAUCGCGAACUACCCCAUGACCCGGCCCAUAGGGUACAUUUGCAGGUAAAUAACACCUAAGCACCACGCCCACAUGUGAUCUACCACUUAACUCCCGCGCGUCAAGAGCUAAGCGCUUUGCAAACUCAUACAUAAACUCAUUAUUAAUCAUAACUAUAUCAAAUAUAGAACUAGAGCAAACUAAGAACAUAAUAAAUAGAGACAUAAUGCAAUUAGAAUAAAGUAGUAGAGAAAGAGAUGAAAUAAUACUAAUCUUUAUUGAUGAAGAUCCAAAUCUAGAGCGCUAGGCUCUACUUCUCUAAUUCUAUCUAAUCAAUCCUAUAGAACUUGAAGGAAUUAGGAGUAGCUAAUUCUAAUUCUCUGUGGGAGAGAAAUUCCUAAACCCUAACUUUGAUGGCUUCCUCUGAUAAUGAUUUCUCCUUCUCCCCUGGGGUGGAGAGGCCUUGCUUAUAUAGCCCCCUCAAGUGAAUGUGGGCCGUCGGAUCAAACCGACAUAAAUCACACGGUUAUUCUUGAAGAUUAAAGGUGGUGGAGCACGAUCCAGGAGACCUACUCUGAUUGGCCACCAGGGCAGAGCGGGUGCCCAAGGGGGAGGGCGGGCGCCCUGCCCCCGGGCCCGAUCGGCCUCCCGUUCGUUCCCGUGGCUUCUGGACUCUUCUAGAUCAAGAAAAAUUGCGCGACACGUAAUUAUCUCGUUGUAAACCUGACAUGUAGGCCUUCUCUCCAUAUUUUCUGAUAACCCCCUGCAGAAAUAGAAAAACACCAAAGCUCAUGGAAUUCUGUCAGAUAAAACCCUAAUUCUAGAUGUUUGGUGCAUAUUGAUCCUUUUCCAUGUUUAGUUGAUGGUUAAAUUUAGCACUUAAGAACCGUCAACAAUGCACAAGGUACUCUUUACUCACAUAGGCAUGUAAGUGUGCCACAUAGCUGCGAGAACCCGUAGCCUGGUGAUACUUGACUUUAUGGCGAUUCUGUUUGUUCUUUUCACUUGAUUCAUGCAAAUGAAUGAACAUGUCACAAUUGAUUCACUUGAAUUCACUUGAAACUGAAUGAGAAAGUAAAAGUGAGAAGAUACCAAUACCAUGUUCUUAGGAUCAGUCCACUUUGCCACUAGUGCCCUCCACUGUUCAUCAGUCAUGCAUGCAACUAGAGAAGUUGUCCUAACCUCAUUUGCUGGUAUACCAAUGAAGUACUUCUUCUUAAGCCGAUAACGCAUCUGUCGCACCCCAGAGCGUAGAAUAUCGAUGCAAGCUUCCUCUGUUGCCUUGUCUUCAGAGUUGAUGGCCAACCGCCCCUAGUCAUCAGGCAAUUGAAUAAUUAGUUAAUCAAUUUAGGUUAAGUAGACAUGCAAAUGAACCAUAUAAACAAUAAAGCACUUACAGACAACUUUCCCACAAAGUUUUUGUAAUGCUGAUCAUCGUUCUUGUAUUCCUUCCAAUGAGGUAGGACAGGAACCUUGUCCCUAAUGAUGACACCAGCCUGAGAAGCAAAUUUGGCUGCUUCAACAGGAUCAUCAGGCCUUCUUUUGCCUUCUGCAAUAGCUAUGGGCAUCCUCCUUCCCAUUCCUUUGGUCAUCCUAUCCAGCUGUGUUCCCUUGGUGGGUGGCCUAGGUCUCCUUGGGGCUUGAUGUGCAGGACUUACAAAACAGAUUUUGCAUUAACUCGUUGUGUUCCCUCACUAUGUUCUCAUUCAGUUUCAUGUAAAUCAGCAAAAGAGAUGACAUAUUUGAAUGACAAAGAAACUAUAACUUGCCUUCAGUGUCUUCAUGUUCAUGUACAUUGUCUUCAUCAACACAUGUAGUGUGUUGAGCAGCACCUCCACUGUCUCCCUCUGCAGUUGUAGUGUCCUGAACACCAGCUCCAUUGCCUGAUUUUGCAGGUGUACAAGAUCUUUGUGGUGUUUCUUCUUCACUUUGCCCUUGUGUUGCUAACAAAUGAAGCCUUUUCGAUGUUCUUGUUUGUGAUUGAGGAGGUUGCACUUUUGAUCCUUGAUAUGCCCUAACUCUCUUGCUAGCCCUUACUCCUAGAGCCAUAUUGACACCUGUCUUCUUCCUCUUUGAAGCUUGGCCUCUAGGACUAGGAGUAAACCCUAGAGGACUGUGCAAAAAAACAAGUGUCAUACAACUCAGAAUUGUAUUCAGAGAGCAUGGUAAUAAUUGUACGAGUUUGGUCAUGCUUAUGUCAUAUCACAUACAUAAUAGUUCAUGGGAAACACUAGUAAUAGUUUUAGGGAAUACUAACUUAUGUAUUGCUAGGGGUUGUGGCAGGUCAUCAGAUUCAGUGUCAUCAUCACUACCUCCUUGAUCAUCACUAUCAAGGAGAUACUCUGAUGAAUCCGAAUCUUCACUUUUUGAUUUCUUGUUUGCUGAUUUUUUCCCCUUGUUUGAUGAAGAUUCAGCUAAAGAAUUUUUUAAAUCAUUGCAUAAUUUUUUCAGUCCUAGUUCUUGCAUCUUCUUUUCUACCACCACCACUUGUGCAUCCCACCUCUCAUAAUCAUUUUUUGGAGGUUCUUACAAGAAUAAGCAAAUUGUGUGUAUUAGAGAAUAAAAAGGAGUGAACUAAGAGUGAAUACUAGAUGCUAGAAAGAUAAGAGGUAGGAAGUAGUAGUGGCUGCUGCAGAGAUUUGGGAUCAGAGCUGAUUAAAAGGUCCAACAGACCACACAAAUUUGUAUAUGAAGCCAAGAGACACAAGUACUUCAUUGAGAUUGUAGUUGUGUACAUUACUUUGAACUAGUACUACGAGUAGUAGAGAUGAGUAGAAAGUAGAUAGGAGAAGAGAGAGGAGAGUAGCAGAAUAGUAGGGAGGAGAGUAGUAGAAGAGUAGAGAGGGGAGAGUUGGCUGCCAUAGAGAGUAGCAGUAGAAGUAGAGUAGGGAGAAGAAGAGAGAAGAUAGGAGAAAAUAGUAGGUAAGUAGUACUAGUAAUAACAACAGACACUAAACAGCAGUAGGGUAUGGUCACUUGCUGCUUCAAAAAAAGUAGUGCUGCUUACCCAAGAACUAGUAUGUAAAAAUCAAAAUAGGCAUCACUUAUCGACAGGAAAUGAAUAAGUGCAGUAGUAGUAUCUACAAUAAUGGAAUACUCAAAUUAUACCCAGAAGAAUGCACACAAAAAUUCAUCUUUAUUAAAAUCAAGGACUAAUAAAACGCAUCAGGCGUGGUACGCCAAACUCUCGACGAGUCUCUCAUCGGGCUUGGGUUUCGAAGGAGUGCCUCAGAACAUGUUGUCUACUUGCGCGGAGUUGGAGCUCGCCAGCUGGUGGUCGGGGUCUAUGUCGAUGACUUGAUCAUCGCCGGCGGCAACCAAGUCAACAUCGACACCUUCAAGAACCAGAUGAAAGCCACAUUCAAGAUGAGCGACUUGGGCCUACUUCACUACUACCUUUGUCUGGAGGUAUCCCAGACUGAGGCCGGCAUCACCAGCUGCCAGAGCUCUUAUGCGGCCAAGGUCAUGGAGACAGCAAGCUUGACGGGCUCCAACCCCAGCACGAUGCCAAUGGAGCCUCGCCUCAAACUCAACAAGGUGAGCUCAGCCCCAGCAGUUGACCCUUCCAUGUAUCGCAGUGUGGUAGGAUCUCUGCGGUAUCUGGUGAAUACAAGACCAGACCUGGCGUACUCAGUUGGUUUCAUCAGCCGGUUCAUGGAGAACCCGACCACUGAGCAUUUGGUGGCCAUGAAGCGGGUACUGCGCUAUGUUGCUGGUACUCUACACUUCGACUGUUACUAAAAGAGGAGGAAGGAUCCCCAGCUGGUUGGCUACAGUGACAGCGACCUUGCUGGGGACAUUGACACCCACAAGAGCACCUCAGGCACACUCUUCUUCCUCGGCGGAAACACCAUCACCUGGCAGUCAUAGAACCAGAAGAUCGUGGCGUUGUCUUCGUGCGAGACUAAGUAUAUCGCAGCGACGACAGGAGCAUGUCAGGGCAUAUGGCUGGCGCGGCUACUCACUGAGCUCAAGGGUGAGGAGGCCUACGCUGUCUACUUGAAGAUCGACAACCAGUCCGCAAUCACGCUCAACAAAAUCCCAUCUUCCAUGAUCGCAGUAAGCAUAUCGACACUGUUAUCAUUUCAUUUGUGAAUGAGUUGAGGAGGAUAGGGUGAGGCUCUAGUCUAUCGGGACUACAGAGCAGCUGGCGGACAUCCUCAAAAAAGCUCUAGGCCAUGAACACUUUUGUGAGAUGCGCUCUAGAAUUGGUGUCAUAGAUGUACGACAUGAAUACUUUUGUGAGAUACGCUCUAGAAUUGGUGUCAUAGAUGUACAGAAAGUACACUAGGAUCUCCGUUGCAUGUUCGGGCAUUAGGACCGGUCAGGAAGGGCCUGUUGCCCUGGUUUCCGAGCCGGUGCUGCCCUUUCGAGACUAAAGGCCCACCCUUUAGUCCUGGUUCAGGGAACCGGGGCUAUAGCCACCCCCCCACCUUAACACCGGUUGGUUAUACCAACCGGUUUUAAAGGGUCCUGCCAGGACUGCCAUGUUGCAGGACCCUUUAACACUGGAUGGUAUUACCAACCGAUGUUAAAGGGGUCAUUUUUUUCUUUUUUUUCGGUUCAUUUCUUUGGUUCUGUUUAUUGUUUAUAUAUAAUAAUAAUAGAUUUGUCAAUACGUAUUUUAUGCUGAUAUAAUAAUAUAUAUAUUACAUGCAUAUUAGGCAUAAAUAUUAUUAUAGGCUUAGCUUUAUAAUUAAGCUUUGCCUAUAAUAAAACGAAUAGGCCACAUCAAUAAUUAAAUAGAUGGAUAUGUAAAAAUCUUUAUAUAUAGUUUUAUAAGUACAAAAUUCGUAACACAUAUAUACAUAGAGUUUUUUAUCUGAAUCUCUAAAGCCGAUACAAAUGAUCAUCGUUGUUUGGAAUAAGAGUUUCGUUACCGUUGAAGUGAAACUCGCCGUUUGGAUUGAUCAUUUGCUCGCGGAGGAAUCCUGCUAUCGUCUCUUGAAUAGCUUUGAUGUGAUCUUUUUGCAUGACAUUUUCCCUCAACCAUUCCGUCUUCAAUUUGAAAUAAAAUAAAAAAGUAUUAGUUAUCUAAGUUAUUCAAUAUAAUUUAGGGGAUAAUGAAAAGAGACAUGUAACGUACUAUGAGUGUCUCUGUGGGUGUUUGAUUGACGUGUACCAUCAAGAAUUUGCACACAUAAUAUCCACAUAGGUUGUUCCCUCCUUGUCUUAAACACCACUAUAUGAUAUAUAAAAAAGAUUCACGACCACGACAAUAAGAAAGCUAAAAGUUAGCGAAAGUUUGCUAGCUAGUACAACUUACUUGUGGAUGAAUUAUAUUAAGCGGCGCUUUACAACCAAUGAGAUGUUCACGGUCAAUAAAUCUUUCCCAAACCUUACACAUAGCCAUUGUGGAUCAUUAACUAAUAAUUGCAGAGUCAUAUCAUGAUAUUCUUCUAGCUGAGAUAGACAUUACAUACAUUUGAAUAAUGUUUACCAUUUGUUGGUAAUUUUCUUGCGGUUUUCUCAUUGAGUCAUAGAUUAUCAACCAGUUCUUGGGAAUUUCAAUGACCAUGAGUAUCUAGUGAAAACUGUUUACACACACAUAUAUAUAGUCUGGCCUAUAACUAUAUAAAACCCGAAUCGAGUAAUAAUAAGUAAAAUAAAAUGUGCAAGCACUUAAUAACUAUAUAACUCACUCGAAGUUGUAGGGGAAGAGUAUUUUUUGUUUUUGUUUUUGGUUCAUGAAGAACCUCAUAAGAUUGGUGUAGACUUCUGUCUCGUGAGAUGCUAUCCACACUGCCUGCGGAGCCUUAAAAACAAUAUAAGGGUCAACAAACCCAAUGUUCAUGCUCCUUAAGUACCAAAUAUAAUCAUCAAAUAAAUAAAGAAAAGGAUCCAAAUGCAACCAACACCCAGACUUAGGGUUUUAUCUGAUAGAAUUCCACAAGUUUCAGUGUUUGUCUAUUUCUGUAGGGGUUAUCAGGAACUAUGGAGGAAAGGCCCACAUGUUGGGUUUACAUAGAGAUAUUAACGUGUCGCGCAAUUUUCUAUCAUCUAGAAGACUCCAGAAGCCACGGGAACGAACGGGAAGCCGAGCGGGCUCGGGGACAGGGCGCCCGCCCUACCCCUUAUGGUGCCCGCCCUACUUUUUCCACCAAUCAGGCUCCGCUUCGAGGAUUAUGCUCCAUCACCUUUGAGGAUCAAGGAAAACCAUGCGAUUAAGGUCGGUUUGAUCCGACGGCCCACAUUCAUUUGGAGGGGCUAUAUAAGCAGGCCCCCUGGCCCCUGGAGGGGGCACCCCUUCAUCCUUAUUCAUUAUUCAUAGACAGAGCAAAAGCUAGGGUUUGGAGAUGAGAGCUCUCCUCUCAUCUCUAAACUAUAGUAGAUCUAGAUAGUAGCGAGAUAGAGAGCGAGGGAGGAUUGGAGGAGAGGCCGGCCUGUCGGUUCUUCCUCCGGUUGUACUUCGCCAUGAUCAAGCUCUAAUCAAGCUUGCUCAAGGGAUGACUCUGGUAAUCUACUUCUUAUUUCAUUAUGCAAUUACUAUCCAUGUAUGUUCUGGUUCACAACUCUUUUGAGUACUUUUAAUCUAUAGGACCCUAUAGGUUAGAGUUUUAGUAUAGGUGUAAGCGUGGUGCUUAGACCUAGAUUACUUGUGGAUAUCCCGUGUCUAGCCGGAUCGUGUGGUAGGCCACGUGGGUGAUAGCUACGUUGGUCCACUGUAGUCCACCUCCUGUUUGCAGGAUUGGUAGGGUCUAUCAGCCUAUGGAUAAGCAUCCUUUGUGGUGUAUUCUUAUCACGUGGUUCGUCCCAGACAUAGACAUACCCCUUUGAAGUAGAGAAACCAUAGUUAUCCUCUCUGUUCUCCUACCAUCGCCCAUAUACUAGAUUGCUCUACUCUCUAUUCCCAUAUUAUCACCCAUUGUUAUCUUACCUUUAAUAUUGUUCUUAUUCAAUUCUAUCAUCUUUCCUAUUUACACCUACCUAUCUAUCUAGGUUAAGUUAGAGCGUAGAUCAGUUCUCCCGUUUCCCUGUGGAUACGAUAAAACCUUUAACCGGGUAAAAGCUACAACGGUAUCCGUGUGCUUGCGGAUUUAUAUGUGUGCGUAUAAAUACCAUAGUACACUCUAGUGCCAUGCUGGGGAUGACAACCUAGUAUUCAAGUGGUGUUAGCAAGUGUCAACAAGCUUUUUGGCGUCGUUGCCGGGGAAACAGUUGCUGAGUUGACUACGAACUAGCUUAAUCAUUUUCUAAAAAAAUAAUAAAGAAAAUAAUAUACUUUUCUUUUUAUCUUUUGCCUUAUCUCUGCUAUUCUUUCUUCUUAUCUAAUCCUUGAUCUCUGGUCUAUCAUGAAUUCAAACAUGUCUAUUGAAAGGAUCAAGAUGCCCAAGAGGGGGGGUGAAUUGGGCUUCUCUAAAAAUUUAAGCAACCUAUAAGCUCCAAUUCAACCCCUUGUGCCUAGUGUGACUUAGAGAGCUACCGGAUAAAAAGUUUUGCAACCUAGUUCCAAUCCUAUUCUAGCAAGGCAAUUCUAAGAAUGUAAAAAACACAAAGUAAAUGCUAGAAAGUAAAGGAGUAGUGGAAGAAAAUACUCGGCGAUGUUUUGCCGAGGUAUCGGAGAGUCGCCACUCUCCACUAGUCCUCGUUGGAGCACCCGCGCAAGGGUCUUGCUCCCCCUUGGUCUGCGCAAGGACCAAGUGCUCUCUACGGGCUGAUUCUUCGACACUCCGUCGCGGUGAAUCGCCCAAAACCGCUCACAAGCUUGACACGAGCCACCCACAAGAACUCCGGGCGGUCUUCGUGCCUCCAAUCACCACCGAACCGUCUAGGUGAUGGCGAUCACCAAGAGUAACAAGCAAAGAACUCUCACUUGACCCAAACAAAGGCUCCAGAGAGUGGUGGAUGCACACUUGACUCUUGGAACUCACUAGAGAGGGAUUCUCUCAAGAAAUCACUCCAAACUCAAUCCUCUCUAGGCUCUUGCAACUCUCUUGCUCCACAACAAGUUUCUCAGAUGUUCAAAUGGGCAAGGGACCUCUCAUGGAUGAGGUGGAGGAGUAUAAAUACUAUCCACGAAGUCCAAAGGUCGGCCAACCGUUUUCCACUGAAAACGGGGUCACCGGACGCACAUUAUGUUGCACCGGACGCACUGCACCGAGCGUCCGGUGUUUCAUAACGGCUACCUACACUUUUCUCUGACAGGUCACCGGACGCUAAUGCUCAGCGUCCGGUGCUCAGGGAAGGCUUGCAACCUCCCUAGGUAAGGGACCGGACGCUACCCGGUGCGUCCGGUGCUAGCGUCCGGUGCCUAACCCUAAGCACGGCACUGUUCUAACGGUUAAGAACCUCAUCGGACGCACUCACAGAGCGUCCGGUGCAGCGUCCGGUGCCCCUUUGGGCACCCAAACUUCAUCGAAACGCGAUCGCUCCAAAACGAAGUUUGUUCCUCUCGAUCUAAGGACUAUCUCUGAGCUGCCUAGAGCUAGGUUUACUAAGUGUGCACCACACCUAAACCUAAAGCCUUGCCUAAGUCAAGCUACUAGAUCAAGGCCCCUCUUAAUAGUACGGUCAAAGGAAAAUAAAGUCCUAAACUACUAUAAGUGCCCUUCUUCACCAUAUGGCACUUAGACCUAGUCUAGUCUUGACGAUGUCCAUCCAUCCUUUAAAAACCGAAAUGAUUUCCCCUAUUAAGUAGGCAUGUACGUCCCUGUCCAUCGAGUACCUAUAUACCAUGACCUUACCUAUGACUUUGCCUCUGCAAAACACACAUUAGUCAUAGUAAUCCAUAAUGUCAUUAAUCACCAAAAUCACUAGGGGCCUAGAUGCUCUUUCAAUCUCCCCCUUUUUGGUGAUUGAUGACAACCUCGAGUAUGAAAAAGAGUUGAGGUUUUUAAAGUGACUUGGUUUCAAUAAGCAUGUUACAAAAAGAACAAAGGGAUUAGUCAUGCUUAUAUCAACCAAGUCCAAUACCCUGCAUCCAAAUAUGUGAGUGGUAUACGACAGGAUAUGAACACAAGGCUCAUAAGUACAUCGGAGUAAAACGCGGAAGCAAGGGUAAUAAGAGCCAAAACACAUGACAUUAAGAUAUCACAAUAACCACAAGUCAUGUCUCACAACCAUAGUAUCUCACACAAGUGCAAUGCAUGAAAGUAAACGUGAUGCAUGAUAAAGUAGCACACAUAAAAAGUAUCUCAAAAGAAUAAACUCCUAAACACCCUCUCUAGCUCCCUCUAACUCCUAACUCUCAUACGCAACUCUCUCCCCCUUUGGCAUCAAGCGCCAAAAACCUAAGAAGACGGCGGAGGAGGCGGAGCAGUGGAGUCCCUCGGCACGGCCACGAAGCGAGCUGCAUCAUCUGAACUAUCGUCGAGGCAGAGGAAGUGGAGUGACCCUCUAAAGCUACAGAAGCUGGUGAAGCGGUCUGGGUCUGCUCUGGCGCUCUCACAGGCUGUGCUGGCUGCUCGAGUCUAGCUGACAAAGCUGGCACGGACUCGGUCGCUGUAGCUGUCGUCUCUGGUACGGUAGUAGACGGUGCAAGCUGCUCGGACGACGCUACGGACGACGACAGAAGCUCUGUAGUGGUAACUGGCGCUGUAAAGACUGCAGGAGCCUGCAGAGGAGGAGGCGUUGGGUCACCAGUCAGAGCACUAUAGGUGAAGCUGAGGUGCGGAUCUGUCUGCGAAUCCCACACAAGCUGUGACGCUGACGCUGACUGAGGAGUGAAGCCUGAGCGGAGAGGAGUGAACUGAGGUACCUGCUCAAAGCCGGAAGAGAUAGCACCCUGAGAGACCUGGUGCUAUGGCGUCGAGAAUGGCUGACUCUGAGCUGGUAACUGAAGCGGCUGUUGAGACGGGCUCUGAGUCUGAGGCACUGGAGUAGGUGGCCUGACAGUCGACGUGCCUAGGAGCUGAAUCUGCGGUAGCUGAAUCCCUGAGGCGGCCAUGAGAGCAGCCAUCAUCGCUGUCUGCUGGGCCUGGAAAGCAAGCUGCUGCUCCUGAAAGGUGAGAAGCUGACGCUGGAGCUCAUCCUGCCUGGCCUGCAUGGCUGCAUUGAUGGCAGCCUGAUCCCUGUCUCGCCUCGCCUGCUCCUCAGCUGCACGGCGCUGAUCUGCCCUCGUCCCCUCUAAGAUAGCAAGCAGGGCAGGGUCUGAAGUACUCGAAGAACCGCCUGCCUCGUGGUCGUGUGCUCUGGGAGGGAGAUCUGUCACUGGCAGCUGAUAGUCAUCAUCUGAGCUGUCUGAGGCGAAGUCAAACUCGCCCUCUGCCUCUGCAUCUGCAAACGCGCCAAUAGCUAUGUCCUGCUGCUCCUCUGUCUCUGCAACUGCUGCUGUACUGCGGGUUCCCCUAGGAGAAGGAGGGGGCACCGGUCCACGUGGAGCACGAGGAGGAGGUGCACCGCGAAGGUCGUGGUGCGCUCUCAACAUCUGCCGGGGGUCGUAGUGGGGGAAGACGGUGUCGGACUCUGUCAACUCCCUCUACAAGUGAGCUGGUAGGGGCAGUGGCCUAGCACGAAGUAUAAGCAGAGUGAUCCAAUGUGCAUACGGCAACUGACGCCGUCCCCUGAAGCUCUCUGAGAUGGUGUCCUCUAUCUCUGAGACGAUCAGAUCCCACAAAUCAAACUGCGUCUUGGAGAUAAGGUGAGCGACGAGCCACUGCUGGAUACGAGUGAAGCCGUCUCUGUAGCCUGUCCUGGGGAGAAGAGUCUUCCUCAACACGAAGUCGAGGAUCCUAGCUGGGCGUGUCAAAUCUCCCACUGUCCUGCUGGAGCCCUCCACAAAAGGUGCACGGAAACAGGGAGCCACGAAGUCAACCGGUGGGAUCUCACCACCGUGAGGACGACGAGGGGGAUCCACGUUCCCGUAGCACAGCUGGUGAAUCCUGGUGGGAGAGGCUCGCAGUCCAAGCACCUCUCUAGCCCUCUGAGCUGUCACUCUGUAGUCUGUCCCCGCCAGUGCGUAGUGGAUAUAACUGUGAUCUGGAGAAAUCCACACUGACGCGUAGAACUCUCUGACCCACUGCUCACAGUAAGUGCCGGGGAGUGCUAGUAACUCUAGAAGUCCGUGGAGGUAGGUGAAAUACUGACGAAUGUCUGCUCCUACCACAUUCCCCAGUAUCUCUAGGUCUAUCACUCUGUGCUCCCUGAACUGAGCCUGAGAGCGAACCAGUGCCUCGUAGAUGUCCUCCUGGACGACUAUGUAGAACCUGGCACUGGCUCUGGGAUCCCUGGCAGCUGGAAACCAGGUGGGAAACGGAACGAACCUCAGCUGCUGGAUCUCUCUGGCUGACACAAGAGAGAGAUCCCUGUGGAUCCUGACUGGCCUCGGUCGAGAAGCUGGAGUGCCUCUAGCUGGUGUAGCACGAGCGGUGGAGGUGGACUGACCCUGCAUACCAGUCCGAGGAGGGGCCUGAGUACGAGUGCGAGUCGACCUCAGGAGGGGCUGCUCCUGCUCCCGCUCCUAUGCUAGACCCUCUGCCUGGAUCUCUGUCUCAGUGUCUGGAUCCUCCUGAGCUGGAUCCCUGACCACAAGCCUAAUCCUCUGUCCUCCAAUCAUCACGGUGCCUGGAGGGGAUCCAUGGAAUGUCUCUGCCUCAAGUACUGCACGCCUCUGACGCGGCGUAAGAUCAUCACCUAUCCUCAGAGCACCUGAGCGACCACCCCUCUCGGCUGCCUCAGCUGCUGCUGCAACUGCCUCUGCGACCUCUGCAUCUCUGUCACUGCCUUCCGCUUCUUGGUGGCCAGCUUCUUGCCUUUCCCCUUCUCUGCCGCUGAUAGGCGACAGGGAGGAUCACCUCCUGGGGAACCUCCUGAGCCAGUUGUCGGACCACUGACGUUCUUGGUACGAGCCAUUGCGAAGCAAGCGUCCGACAAACAACCGACUGACAAUGGAGAUUAACGCGCUGCAGGGAAUCGACAAAAUUGGAUAUAUAUAAGAAAAACAUAUCGACUAGAGAUGAGACAAUCCUAUAGAUCGCAAGAAUAGAUAAGAUACGGACGCGAACGGCUUACGAUCCACGGACGAGUCGCGUUCCGGAUGAAAACUCUUGAUCAACAACCACCGGAAACCACGAACCCUUUCCUUAUGGUGCUGCACAGGAGGAACAAAGAAGAUCAAGAUCAACAAUCCUUUUCUAAUCCUUUGUAGCAAAAACUCAAGCACCUUAAGGACAUGGUUGAGGAAACUCAGCCAAACCCUUGAAUCCCUGCGAGAUUCAGAGAUCCACGCGAAGAGAUGGAAGAGGAGAAGGUUUGGGGGCAGAUCUGGAGCGGGGAAGGCCCUAGGGCGCCGCGGAUUGACGAAGCCUGACGACGGCGGCGGAAUCCGGCGAGUUAGGGCACGGGCGGCUCGGCAUUGCACCGGACGAUGGGCACCGGACGCUGGCUUUAGCGGCCGGUGCUUCGGGUUACGCCUGGUGAGCACCGGACGCACCUCACCAGACGCUGCAGGGACACUGUUCCUGCGUCCGGUGAGUGCAGUCUGGCACACUCACAGCACCGGACGCACAGAGGCAGCGUCUGGUGCAUCGUCCGGUGCUCCUCUGAGCACUUUUUCAACUAAGCACCACAUCCGAAUUUGACCCAACCAAGUUCCAUUUCCAAAAGCACACAAAUAAACACCAAAUGGAACUGGUAUGAGUAACUUCUCUCAAACCCUCAAAUUUUCACAAAUAUUUAGCCAUAGGAUUAGUAGUUUUUAUAAAAAUAAUUCGAGAAAAUCACCAAGGAGCAUCAUAUGGCCAUAAAGCUAGGGGUUUAAAUCACAAUGAGCUUUGAAUGCUCCCCCUAUCUAUGGACGAACACAGCGGAUGCUCAACGAAUAACCGAAAAGAAACGGUUAACUAGCAGUCAUGCAUAUGAUAUGAGUUGAAAUGCAAUACUUGAAAGUAAACUAAUGCUUGUCAAGUUUGAUCCAAGGUCAAGCUUUUUCACACACACAAGGGGGUUAUCUUAACCAUGUUAGACAAGCCCUACAUGCAAGUUUUAUUUUUAGUUUUAGUAUGCAUGAUAUGCAAAGCAAAAGUUAUUUACAAGAUUCAACACACAACUUUUAUCUUUUAGUAAAGUUGGAUAGGUCAAGCACAUUAAGUUAAUUUCUCAACAUACAAAACCUAGCUUCAUCUAGGGGUUUUGUGAAGAUAUCCGCCAAUUGAUUUUCCGUUCCCACAUUCUCUAAGGAUAUAUCACCUUUAGCAACAUGAUCCCUAAGGAAGUGGUGGCGGAUGUCAAUAUGUUUUGUGCGGGUGUGUUGAACCGGGUUGUUUGCAAGUUUUACAGCACUUUCGUUGUCACACAACAAAGGUACUUUGUAUAGUACUACUUCAUAGUCUAGCAAAGUUUGUUUCAUGUAGAGUAUUUGUGCACAACAAGCACCGGCGGCAAUGUAUUCCGCCUCGGCCGUUGACAAGGCAACACUAUUUAGUUUCUUUGACAUCCAAGAGACAAGUGAUCUACCUAGGAAGUGGCACCCUCCGGAUGUGCUUUUUCUAUCAAUCCGGCACCCGGCAUAAUCCGAAUCGGAAUAGCCUACAAGUUGGAAUCUUGCACCUUUGGGAUACCACAAGCCUAGGCAAGGUGUGUAUUUUAGAUACCUAAGAAUUCUCUUGACUACAAUCAAGUGAGAUUCCAUAGGCAUUGCUUGAUAUCUUGCACACUUACACACACUAAACAUUAUAUCGGGCCUAGAUGCGGUGAGGUAGAGUAGACUUCCUAUCAUGGAGCGAUAGAGAGUCUUGUCAAUAGGGUUACCUCCUUCAUCCAAGUCGAGAUGCCCAUUUGAUGCCAUGGGAGUCUUGAUUGGCUUGCAAUCCAUCAUCUUGAACCUCUUGAGAAGAUCUUGAGUGUACUUCUCUUGAGAGAUAAAGACCCCUUCCUUCAUUUGCUUGACUUGAAAUCCUAGGAAGAAGGAUAGCUCGCCAAUCAUGGACAACUCAAACUCCUUGGACUUCAAAUCACCAAAUUCUUUGCAAAAAUCUUCAUUAGUAGAGCCAAAAAUAAUAUCAUCAACAUAAACUUGGCAAAUGAAGAUUUCCCCUUUCAUUUUCUUGGUUCAGAGUGUUGUGUCAACUUUCCCAAUCUUGAAGCCCUUCUCAAUGAGGAAGUCCCUAAGCCUCUCAUACCAAGCUCUAGGAGUUUGCUUGAGACCAUAGAGUGCCUUGGACAACCGGUAGACAUGCUUGGGGUACCUAGGGUCUUCAAAACCGGGGGGUUGCUCAACAUAGACAAGCUCAUUAAUAUAACCAUUUAAAAAGGCACUUUUCACAUCCAUUUGAAAUAAUUUGAUAUCAUGACUUGAUGCAUAUGCAAGUAGGAUACGGAUUGCUUCAAGUCUUGCCACCGGUGCAAAGGUUUCACCAAAGUCAAGACCUUCCACUUGUGAAAAGCCUUUUGCCACAAGUCUUGCCUUGUUGCGCACCACUUUGCCUUGAUCAUCCUUCUUGUUCCGGAAGACCCAUUUUGUUCCAAUCACUCUUGCAUCUUUGGGUCGCUCUUCAAGUGUCCACACUUGGUUGCGAGAGAAGUUGUUCAACUCCUCUUGCAUGGCCAUGAUCCAAUCCGCAUCACGAAGAGCUUCCUCUAUAGUCUUUGGUUCAUCUUCAAGAGACACAAAAGCGUGAUGUUCAAUAAAUAAAGCAUGUCUAGAACGAGUAGUUACACCACGUGAUGGACUCCCGAUGAUGAGAUCUGUAAUAGAACCGACCAAAUAAUAAGAGAUUAAGCCUAACAGUGACCCUUUUUCAUAGUCAAACCAUCACGCUUAAGCCCAUAUAAUCCUGGUAGUCCGUGAAAUCUCAAUGGAUUUCAAACCACACAUCGCACAACAGCCAAGAUUGUAAUAAGUUUAGCGGUCGCCAUUCACAAAUACAUCUAGAUUACAACAUUCAUAAAAUACAUCGGAGUUCUUAAAAUUAUUACAAACCAAGUUCUUCAAGUAGCGGAAGCUUCAUAGUUCGAAAAUACAACACACAUGCUUAGUCUGAUACAGUGCCAUAGUUCGGUCAUUCCCACAAAAGCACAAGGAGAGACGGAGUGACCAUCGCCCUUGGUCUAGUCAUCACCCAUGGCUGGGUACAGACAGAGGAUGCAAUAACCAUAGUACAUUUGACCAUCUGCAAAACAACAUGGGAGUAGAACCCUGAGUACGAGAAGGUACUCAGCUAGACUUACCCGUCAUAAACUUAAAAUAAAGACUCAUCAAGGAUCAUGAAGGCUAUAUAGUGGGGUAGCUGACAACCAUUUUGCAAAACCGCAGGAUUUUACUAUCAUAACCUACAUAAAUCUUUCUUCUUUUAAUUUGCUCAUGUUGAAAGUAUCAUUACCUAUUAUCUAGGUUUGCACCUGCACUAUUACAAGCAAGUAUAGGGAUAUGAUAGUACUUCAUCAUAGCAUUCAUAAACCCUUUCAUUAUAACCCCAGUGUUCCAUAGUCCUUACUACGAGGACGAAGCUCAUGUCAAGUGCUCACUAUCCAGGAGCGAUGGCGAUUCGAAUCGAUUUCUGACCAGCUGGUGAGUUUAUUCCCCACACAAACCACACUCACUGAUCAAGUGAGCUACAGAUCACCGUAUUACACUAUCCAGGACCAAUUCGCGGGUUCGGCAGGCACCGCCAGUACCCGAGGACCGUUCCGGCGACCGAGGUAUCCAAGGUAUACCAAGGUUGCGCGCCGCGCCCUCGUCGUUCUCCUCAACCAUCACCAAUACAGCGCAUGGCGGCUCGAUUCCCGGCCCGGAUAGUGUUCAGGCUUCGCGGUCGGAACGACUUAUCCUUCCAGCUAAGUGUGGGGCAUGCAUUCAACAUGACAAGAGGGCCAUCAACGAUCGGUCCUUAAUCGACACAGGCAGGGGCACUAUGGUCAACCCACCAAAUAAUGUGUAGCAAUAUUUUCCCAGUGAGUUAACACACAUGCAAAGCCCAUAAAACAAGUUUCAUAUUUUUCUGAGUCAUAUUUGAAUUAUUGUGCAUUUUCCAAGUUUAGCAAAAACAUGGAUUAAAUAUAUUCAUACAGAAAAGUUACUCAAACAUAACAUGCAAUUACAUCAGGCUGUAGAUCUGAAAAUAUAGAGCACAACAAAAUUUAUUUCAUCAAAUUUGGAGCUGUAGAACUCAAGAUAUGAAUUUUACAAGUUUUGAAUCAAUUUCUGGAAAAAAUUUAUUCAAGAAAACCGACGAAAAAGGCUGGAUACACCCAGAUCUACACCCACCGGGGUCCCCCUGCGACUGACAGUGGGCCUCUGACCCCACCGGUCAGCGAGACCGAGAGGGAGCUCACCUCCGAUGAGCAGAUCUCGCCGGCGGUGAGGUCUCCGGCCACGGGAUGAGCACCAUCGUGCUCCCCGCAGCGAGGCGCACCCAGCGGUAUCCUCGGGUUGGCCGGAGGAUGACCGGAACACCUCCGACGAGCAUGCAUCCGUCGCGGUAGAGCGCGCGCAAACGGCUCUCCGAGCUUCCUCACCACCCUACCGACCUAGCGCAACCAAAAACCAGCGAAAAGAGGCAGAGAAACGCAAGAUCCGUCGCGGCGGAGUACUCCGGCGAGCUCGGGGUAACUCCGGCGAGCGAUUCACGGCGCUCGACAGACUCUCACCUCGGUAGAACGCUCGCACAAGCUUACCCUAACGAUGGCGAAGGCGCUGGUGGCUUCGGUGUCGAGGUUUGGUCACUGGAGUGGCCUGCGGUGAGCAGCGGAGCUGCUCCGGCGAUGGCGCUACGACGGAGCUCUACGGCUCGGUCGCGCUCGCGAGCGGAGGGAGGAAGGAGAAGGGCGCGGGCGACAGAAGGGAGGGAAUGGCCUGGGAGCCCGAGCCGGCGUCCCGACCAGGGGGGUUGGGGUCCGGCCGUGGCGCGCUCCUCGCCGGCGUACGGCCGCCACGUGGCCGACGCUGGCUGGGGCGAGGCGGGCGUCCGCGCGCGGGAGAGAGGGGGGAGGGGGAGGCAGGCCGGGCCGCUCGCUGGGCCGAAAGGGAGGCGGGGUUGGCCCGGCAGCGCCUGCCCCUUUUCUAUUUUUUUUGAAUUUCUUUUCUCCAAAUCUCUUCUAAAUUCAUUUGGACCAAUUUAAAUUCAUUUUCACCUCUUGCUCCCAAAAGCAAAAUUGUUCCAAAACAAAAACCCUACAACUUUGUUUUAAUAAGCAAGACCAAAUUCCAAAUAGAAUUUGAAUUACAAAUUAAAACUAGUUCUAGUUUUUUAAAUAAAUUCAAUUUGGGAAUUUUUGUAUAAAUUCCAUUUCUCAAAUUCUAUAGCUCCAAAAAUUACACAAAAAUAUUCUUAAUUCUUCUUACACAUAAAUCAACCUAGUUUGAAUAUUUCACAUUUUUAGAAGCAAGCAUCAUAUUUUUAACAUAAUUAAAACACAUGAAAUAAAGCACAUAAAAUCAUGUUUUGGGGAUGAAUGACAUGCUCAUGAUGCUAUGCUUGAUGAGAAUGCUCAUGCAUGUUGUGAUAGGGCUAAAUGCAUGCUUAACACCUAGGGUGUUACAGCCCUUCCCCCCUUAGGGAAAUCUCGUCCUGAGAUUUUGGGUUACUAACCAUUUCUUAUGAAAUUUUGGAUAAACUGUUUUCAAGUAAUCCUCUGUUUCCCAGGUGGCAUCCCUAUCGUCAUGAUGACUCCACACCACCUUAUAUGUUCUGACAAUUCUGUUUCGGGUUACCCAUUCCUUGGUAUCCACAAUUCCCACUGGUUGCUCCUUAUACUCUAAGUCUGCUUUUAUUUUGAUCCCUCGAGGUUCAAUUCUUUGCUCAGGUACUUUCAAACAUUUCCGCAGUUGCGACACAUGGAAGACCGGAAAGAUCGAGCUCAACUCUUCAGGUAACUGAAUCUUGUAGGCCACGGGGCCUUUCCUUUCCAGUAUUUGGUACGGUCCCACAUAUCUGGGUGCAAGCUUGCUUCGAACUCGGAAACGCUGAACUUUCUUCAUUGGCGUAACCUUGAGGUACACAUAGUCACCUACUUUGAAUUCAAGUGGCCUUCUUCUCUUAUCAGCAUAACUCUUUUGUCAUGAUUGCGCUGCUUGCAUAUGCUGCUGUAUGAUUUGCACCUUCUUCUCGGCCUCAUUCACGAAGUCGAUACCAUAGUAUCUCCUUUCCCCAGGUUCAACCCAGUUUAACGGAGUUCUACACCUCCGACCAUACAGAGCUUCGAACGGGGCCAUCUUGAUGCUCUCUUGAUAACUGUUAUUAUAGGAGAAUUCAGCCAGAGGUAACCAUGAUUCCCAUGAUCCCUUGGAUGAUAGCACACAGGCCCUCAGCAUAUCUUCUAACACGUGAUUUAACCUCUCCGUUUGACCUGAGGUCUGAGGAUGAUACGCCGUGCUCCUUAUCAGACUGGUUCCCAAAUUCUUAUGCAUUCGCUCCCAGAAUUGAGCGGUGAACUGUGGUCCUCUAUCUGAUAUGAUGGUCUUGGGAAUACCAUGCAACUUGACAAUCUCAGCCAUAUAUAUAUCGGCAUACUCGGGAGGUCUGUAUGUGUUCUUAACUGGAAUGAAAUGAGCCGACUUGGUUAAUCGAUCUAUGAUUACCCAAAUCGAGUCAUUCCCCUUCCUCGUGGUUGGUAAACCUGUGAUAAAGUCCAUACUGACCUCUUCCCAUUUCCACUCUGGAACUGAUAACGGUUGCAACAGACCUGCAGGUUUCAUAUGGAUGGCCUUAACUCUGCAACACGUGUCACAACGGGCUACAUAUGCGGCUAUUUCUUUCUUCAUCUUGGUCCACCAAAAGUGGGGUCUUAGAUCUUGAUACAUUUUGCUACUGCCAGGAUGAAUAGAAAGUUUAGAGAGAUGGGCUUCAUCCAUGAUGCGAUUCUUCAGUUCACGAUCUUUCGGAACUACUAACCGAUGUUGAAACCACAGUACCCCUUUCUCAUCAACUUGAAACUGAGUUUUUGGGUCAUCUUUGAUCUUUUCUUUGAUGUGGAAAAUACCCUUGUCUGUUUUCUGUCCUUCAAGGACUUGACUCUCGAGUGAACAACUGAGUUGUAUGUGACAUAAGACCUCAGGAUGCAUAAGAUUGAACCCAUCUUCAAACAACGGUUGAACCACUUGAUAGUGCGGUUUACGACUCAAUGCAUCUGCUACCACAUUAGCCUUGCCUGGAUGAUAGUGAACUUCCAGAUCAUAGUCCUUGAUUAACUCUAACCACCGUCGUUGCCUCAUAUUUAGCUCGGACUGAGUGAAGUUGUACUUCAAACUCUUAUGAUCGGUAUAAAUGUGACACUUAUUUCCCAGCAGAUAAUGUCUCCAAAUCUUCAAAGCGUGCACUACUGCUGCUAACUCGAGGUCGUGCGUUGGGUAGUUGACCUCGUGCUUUCUCAACUGUCGGGAAGCAUAAGCUAUCACCCUGCCAUCUUGCAUCAACACACACCCCAGGCCACUCUUCGAUGCGUCACAAAACACAUCAAAGGGCUUCUCUAUAUUGGGUUGUGCCAGAACGGGAGCAGAGGUUAGCAACUUUCGCAAGGUGCGGAAGGCUAACUCACACCCUUCCGUCCUGACAAACUUGUGAUCCUUUUGUAGCAAACUUGUCAUGGGCUUAGCAAUCUUGGAGAAGUCAGGUAUGAAACGACGAUAAUACCCGGCCAGACCAAGAAAACUUCUAACUUCCGAGACAGAAGUUGGUGCCUUCCAGUCCAUGACUUCCUGCACUUUUGACUGAUCCACAGCAAUCCCUUCUUCAGACAGAAUAUGCCCUAGGAAAGGAACUUUCUUCAGCCAGAACUCACACUUGCUGAACUUGGCAUAUAACUGAUGCUCUCGUAAUUGUGUCAGCACGAUUCUCAGAUGCUCGGCGUGAUCUUGCUCUUUUUCUGAAUAAACCAGAAUAUCAUCAAUAAACACCACAACAAACUUAUCCAAUUCUGGCAUAAAGACUGAAUUCAUCAGGUACAUAAAGUAUGCAGGAGCAUUCGUCAAUCCAAAGGACAUGACAAGAUACUCAUACAACCCAUAUCUGGUGGAAAAAGCAGUCUUCGGGAUAUCUUGCGGGCGAAUCUUGAUUUGGUGAUACCCAGACCUCAAGUCUAUCUUAGAAAACACUUUUGCCUUGGACAACUGAUCAAAUAAGAUAUCAAUCCUUGGCAAGGGAUACUUAUUCUUGAUUGUCACUGCAUUGAGUGGACGAUAGUCCAUGCACAUGCGCAAUGACUGAUCCUUCUUUUUCACAAACAACGCUGGACAACCCCAUUCCGACGAGCUUGGCCGGAUGAACCCUUUAUCCAGUAACUCCUUUAGUUGAUUCUUCAACUCAGCGAGUUCGUUUGGUGGCAUCCGGUAUGGCCUUCUCGAUAUUGGUGCUGUACCUGGUAUCAACUCGAUUGCAAACUCUACUUCCCUAUCCGGGGGAAGUCCUGGUAAUUCCUCAGGAAAAACAUCAGGGAACUCACAGACUACUGGGAUCUGUGGUAAUGGAACCACGUGCGUAGCACAAGAGAUGCUAGCAAAGUCAGGACGACGGGGCAGAGGUACUUGAAAAGAGCUACUGCCCUGCGGUUCUCUGAUAGAUAACAUCCUCUUCCCAGUAUCUAUGACGGCAUCCCAUUCUCUCAUCCAGUUCAUACCCAUAAUAACAUCCAAAACUAACCCAGGCAUGACCACUAGAUUCACUCGGAAUACUCGGCCACUUAUAUCCAGGGUUGCCCCUCGAACCACUCUAUUGGUCAACACAUCUGCCCCCGCUGAGCUGAUGCGGUAGCCAUAACCCAGAUCUGUAACUGGUUGACUAUGCUUUUGUGCAAAUGCUUGGCUCAUGAAUGAAUGCGAUGAUCCAGAAUCAAACAAAACAACUGCAAGAUGUUGGUUGACAGGAAACAUACCAGCUGUUACCGGUUCUCCUUCCGGGAUUUCCUCAAUCGAGGUAUGGUGCACAUGAGCUGGAUAGGUUGGCUGCUGCCUCUUGGGCUAGGGACAUUCCUUAGCAAAGUGCCCCAUCUUGUGGCAGUUAUAGCACGGACCCUUGGGCACGUUGUUGACGGCAGGUGCUGCGGCUUGAAUUGCCUUUGGCUUGGCAGGGGCUAUCGCCACCUUGUACGGCUUCUGCUGCGGCGGUCGGAACCUAGCACCUGGGGCAGGGGGACGAUACUACUGUCGCCCUGUCAUGGGUGCCCUGGACUGGGAUGAUCCGGCUUCAAAAGCCCUCUUACGUGACUUGGAUGCACUGUAGUUGUUGUUGUGGUUCUCCUGGGUGAGACAGUCAUUGAUAUAGGCAUUGAAGGUAGCCCUAGCUCCUGUACCCAUGGUCUUCAGCAUCUUUGGAUUCAAGCCUCUCUGGAAACUAGCAAUCUUCUUGGCCUCCGUGUUCACAAACUCGGGGGCGUAACGAGCGAGAUUAUUGAAAGCGUGUAGAUACUCCUUCACAGAUUUCGUCCCCUGGGACAGCCUCAUGAACUCCCCGAUCUUCAUUUCAACUAACCCCGGAGGAAUAUAAUUUCCUCAAAAAGCGGUGGUGAAGCGGUUCCAGGUAAUUGGCGUCCCCUCUGGGUAGGUGGUACGGUGAUGGGACCACCAAAUCCCAGCGGGUCCUUGCAACUGAUGUGCCGCAUACUCAGCCUUAAGUUCUUCUGUCAUUCGGAGAAGACGAAACUUCUCUUCCAUAGUGUUGAUCCACUCAUCUGCCUCGAGCGGUUCCAAAGCCUCCUUGAAGAUUGGUGGCUUGGUAUCCAUGAAGUCCUUGAACGAACUGUACUGGUUGACUUCUCGGCUGCCCUGGUUAUCCCCACGACAGGUGUUGUCAGCUAUGUUGCACAGAGCCUCUUCCAUGUUGCGUUGCAUCUGUUCCAUGUUGCGUUGGCUCCCCAGAAACUACGCGAAAAACACGUCCGCAGUGUACGGAGGAGGCGGUGGUGGUGGCGGUGUUGGUGCUCUGUCCUCAUUCCGUUGAGCCCCACCUCCGGAUGUACCUGCUCCAAGGCCCGGGUUGCUGUUACCCCCGCCACGUGUUUGCACCAUCUGCAUACGUCAAUGAUAAGCAAUCGUUAGGAGUUGCCAUCAACGGUAGAAAUGUGUAGAAUCAUGCCGUACUGAAUUUACUGAGGGAAUAAAUUCGCACAAUAACAGAGGCACAACAAUUCAUCAUCUACGCGCAACAUCACUAACAGAUUGCUUAACGUUCAUGCAACAAGGUUCGCGUACAUCCAACUUGCCAGCAUACAUACACUGGACUUUCAGCAUUAACUCAUAAAGUUUUACAUAGCCCAGAUCCAAAAGUACAUGACAUGCCAUGCAACAUACAACACAAAAGAAGAAGGACUAGCUCUAAAGCCCUAGCAUCUAGUCGCUAUGAUCACUGUCCAUGCCGGAGCCCUCCUCGUCCUCAUCACCACUAGCAGCUGCUCCUAUCUUGGGAUCCGCAUCCAUCUCGUCCCCAGAGUCUAACUCAGCUGCUCCAGGCAGGUGGUGAGGGUGGAGCUGGUUAUGCAGCUGGUGGAUCUCCUCAUGCAAGUUCUCAUUGUACUCCUCCGCAUUAGCUAGCUGCUGCUCUAGCUCCAGCUGUCGGGCCCUCAAAGUGGCCUCCUCGUGCCAGGCUUCAUUCCUCUGUCCAAGCACAUGGACUAGCAUGCGCUCGUAGUUCCUGUGAGCAGUAGUCACCCUAUCCCUCUGCUCUCGCACUGCAAGUAGGUCCUGACUCAGCUCACUGUUCUUCUGGACUGCCUGGUCUCACUCUCUGGUCACACGGGCCAACUCUGCCUGUAGCCUCUCAACCUCAGAGUCAAACUCACGCUGCAACUGACGCUUCUCGUCCUGGACGGUGAGAAGAGAUCCAGACAAGCGACCCAAACAACGCUCCAGGCCUCCAUAGGUCUUCAUCAAUGCGUACAUGGCACUCAUAGCUGCACCGUCACUGUGCUGGUCCUCAUCCGCACUCCUCUCUAGAGCAUUCACCUCGGACUGAUCCCACACCGAAGUGUAGGGGUCACCCCAGGGAAACACCCCAGCGAAGGCGUGGGCCAGCUCCUGUGGAAACCUCUCCAUGAGGUUCCUCAGAACUGCGAAAGCUGCCCUGCUGGCACCGUGGAAAGGCGUGACACCUCGGGACUCGUACACCCAGCCGCCCCAAGCAGGGUCUCCUCCACUGGUAGGGACAACUGCCUCGAUCCCCACCAGGGUCUCGUCACCAAGCGGCUCCUUAUCCCAGUAGUAGCGAGGCUCCCUUCCUUCGGGAUACCCCAUCGAACUGAGCACCCUCCAAAGCAAAGUGGGCAUCCCAAACUCCUCUAGGAACUUGCUCUUAUGUCACGAGCUCCUGGCUGCCAACGGAUGGCGAGGGGCCCGCCCACCAGUGGACUUACGAGCGGUGAGCCUAGUGCGUGCCAUCCGCUGCAAAUGGAAUACCGUGGGUAAGAGCGAGGAUUACCUUUAAUUAUUUUAUUUAGAAUUGGGACUGAUUAAAUUAAGGGGGAAAGUAAGCAAUGAUACAAAAUGAACAUGAUGCAUGCACGAACUUUCGAUCUCACAAACUUAGAAACAAAAGUUAACACUAAGCGGUAUAUGCGGUGGCACACAACGUUCUCUCAUAACGUAACUAGCGUUCUAAGCGAGAACGUGGUUAGUGUACCUGCAGAAAACUCAUUUCAGCCCACCCACAGUAUGAUCGUGUAGAACAAGAAUUUUAAACUAUACACUCCACAUACACAGACACCCGUCCAUACAUAUGACGUGUCACUACCCACAUCAUCGCCCUAAUGACGGCAUCGCCUCUCAGGACGGAAUUCCCAACAUGCGGUACUGUUUCCAAGACACACCAAACAUGUGUGCAUGACACAGUACCUAACAACACUCCCCUAGACCGGCAGUGUAUCCGAUCAUGCUCUCACAGCUCCCACUUACCGUGGCGUAGAGGAAAAAGGGAUCCAUACAUUACCACUCAAAUGAAUGGUACUCAUACUAUUGCACGCCGUAUGAGCGACGAAAUAAAAAUAUGAUGCAUUAACCCCCAAGUCAGUACUUAACUAGCCACCUUAGAGUCCUUAAUUGGGCAUAAAGGAUAUGACCAUGGCACACUAGAUAGUUUUCCCAAAACUUGGUUUAACACCUUGAUCACUAUUGAUUAAUUAAUAAAUCUUUUAUUAAACCGGUUUAGAUUUUUGUUUAGAACGUACUUAUGAAUAGUAACUCGCUAAACCUUGCUCCGAUGCCAGCUGUAACAGAACCGACCAAAUUAUAAGAGAUUAAGCCUAACAGUGACCCUUUUUCAUAGUCAAACCAUCAAGCUUAAGCCCAUAUAAUCCCGGUAGUCCGUGAAAUCUCAAAGGAUUUCAAACCACACAUCGCACAACAGCCAAGAUCGUAAUAAGUUUAGCGGUCGCCAUUCACAAAUACAUGCAGAUUACAACAUUCAUAAAAUACAUCGGAGUUCUUAAAAUUAUUACAAACCAAGUUCUUCAAGUAGCGGAAGCUUCAUAGUUCGAAAAUACAACACACACGCUUAGUCUGAUACAGUGCCAUAGUUCGGUCAUUCCCACAAAAGCACAAGGAGAGACGGAGUGACCAUCGCCCUUGGUCUAGUCAUCACCCAUGGCUGGGUACAGACAGAGGAUGCAAUAACCAUAGUACAUUUGACCAUCUGCAAAACAACAUGGGAGUAGAACCCUGAGUACGAGAAGGUACCCAGCUAGACUUACCCGUCAUAAACUUAAAAUAAAGACUCAUUAAGGAUCAUGAAGGCUAUAUAGUGGGGUAGCUGACAACCAUUUUGCAAAACCGCAGGAUUUUACUAUCAUAACCUACAUAAAUCUUUCUUCUUUUAAUUUGCUCAUGUUGAAAGUAUCAUUACCUAUUAUCUAGGUUUGCACCUGCACUAUUACAAGCAAGUAUAGGGAUAUGAUAGUACUUCAUCAUAGCAUUCAUAAACCCUUUCAUUAUAACCCCAGUGUUCCAUAGUCCUUACUACGAGGACGAAGCUCAUGUCAAGUGCUCACUAUCCAGGAGCGUUGGCGAUUCGAAUCGAUUUUUGACCAGCUGGCGAGUUUAUUCCCCACACAAACCACACUCACUGAUCAAGUGAGCUACAGAUCACCGUAUUACACUAUCCAGGACCAAUUCGCGGGUUCGGCAGGCACCGCCAGUACCCGAGGACCGUUCCGGCGACCGAGGUAUCCAAGGUAUACCAAGGUUGCGCGCCGCGCCCUCGUCGUUCUCCUCAACCAUCACCAAUACAGUGCAUGGCGGCUCGAUUCCCGGCCCGGAUAGUGUUCAGGCUUCGCGGUCGGAACGACUUAUCCUUCCAGCUAAGUGUGGGGCAUGCGUUCAACAUGACAAGAGGGCCAUCAACGAUCGGUCCUUAAUCGACACAGGCAGGGGCACUAUGGUCAACCCACCAUAAGACCCUGCCCGGCCUCCAAUUACAUUCCACACUUGGUUAUUCUUUUCCCCAAGCAACCACUGCUUAAUCAAGUAGGUAACCACCUAUAUCUCGCAGGUGACAGGGAAUCACCCGACUUCUACCGGACUAAGCAAGCUAAGCAUAGACUCCGUGCCUAUCUACAUAGGACAAGGCAGGUAAACGAGUAGGGAUAACAAGGAGUACAUAUGCAUCAACGGUAUCAAGCAAUUUCUAUCACUUAGAUGCAAUAUAGUAGAACCAGUAUAGUAUGCCCUGUAGGUUAGCGAGAAUAGGGAGACUUAGAAUGCUCCGGGGCUUGCUUUUCUCAAACGUGCUUGGUCGGUGAUCCGGACACUCCUGAAGUUCCUCUCCGGACUCCUGUGCUUCCGGAGGUUCCUGCUCCUGAAUCUCCUCUGGCUCCUCGGGUCCCACCUCGUUCUCCUGCGAGCCUGUAUGAUGCAUGUGUGCUCAUGAGUGAAGUGCGAGAUGCCCGAGUGGAUGCUCGUAUGAGAAGGUACCAAAGGAUCAUGACAUGAUGCAUAGGUGAUACACUUGGUCAUGCUCAUUACAAGGUAGUCAACAUCAUCCAAGGACAAACAAUUGAAUCAAACAUCUAUUGCAUUCUCUUCUACAAUUAUUUUUCAAAUGUGACCAGUAACCCACAAGUUGCUUCAAAGAUACAGCAAACUCAAACUUAUUCUAUUCAACCUAUAUAUACAACAAUUCAUAAUUUUCUUUAUUCAUUUCUAGGCCCAUUAAAAUUUACAUGCAGUUCUGUUCAUUAAUAAAUUCCACAAAAAUUACAGGAGACUACCAGCCAAGCAUAGAGUCUACUGUAAAUUUUUCAUAAUUUUUGGAUACUUAUUUUGAGCUACCAAAAAUCACAAGAUCAAUUAAUAAGGUAAGUAUAAUUACUCCACUGUGACAUAAGUGUCAAACAGCAGAUUUCAUAUUUUUACCAUUUGUCUAAUAUCAUAAGAAACAACCACAAAAAUUUCCAGAUUAAUAGCAUGAUCCAAAUAAUUACUAAAAAUCAUAAACCACUGCCAUGCAAGCAUUUAAAUUACCAUAAAUUCAUUUAUACACCAAAUAAUGCGUAGCAAUAUUUUCCCAGUGAGUUAACACACAUGCAAAGCCCAUAAAACAAGUUUCAUAUUUUUCUGAGUCAUAUUUGAAUUAUUGUGCAUUUUCCAAGUUUAGCGAAAACAUGGAUUAAAUAUAUUCAUACAGAAAAGUUACUCAAACAUGACAUGCAAUUACAUCAGGCUGUAGAUCUGAAAAUAUAGAGCACAACAAAAUUUAUUUCAUCAAAUUUGGAGCUGUAGAACUCAAGAUAUGAAUUUUACAAGUUUUGAAUCAAUUUCUGGAAAACAUUUAUUUAAGAAAACCGAUGAAAAAGGCUGGAUACACCCAGAUCUACACCCACCGUGGUCCCCCUGCGACUGACAGUGGGCCUCUGACCCCACCGGUCAGCGAGACAGAGAGGGAGCUCACCUCCGACGAGCAGAUCUCGCCGGCGGUGAGGUCUCCGGCCACGGGGUGAGCACCAUCGUGCUCCCCGCAGCGAGGCGCACCCAGCGGUACCCUCGGGUUGGCCGGAGGAUGACCGGAACACCUCCGACGAGCAUGCAUGGUGGCACGGCGGCGCUGCUCGCCGUGGCCAGACCGCUCCGGUGCGGUAGAGGGCGCGCAAACGGCUCUCCGAGCUUCCUCACCACCCUACCGACCUAGCGCAACCAAAAACCAGCAAAAAGAGGCACAGAAACGCAAGAUCCGUCGCGGCGGAGUAAUCCGGCGAGCUCGGGGUAACUCCGGCGAGCGAUUCACGGCGCUCGACGGACUCUCACCUCGGUAGAACGCUCGCACAAGCUUACCCUAACGAUGGCGAAGGCGCUGGUGCUUCGGUGUCGAGGUUUGGUCACUGGAGUGGCCGGCGGUGAGCAGCGGAGCUGCUCCGGCGAUGGCGCUGCGGCGGAGCUCUACGGCUCGGUCGCGCUCGCGAGCGGAGGGAGGAAGGAGAAGGCCGCGAGCGACAGAAGGGAGGGAAUGGCCUGGGAGCCCGAGCCGGCGUCCCGACCAGGGGGGUUGGAGUCCGGCCGCGGCGCGCUCCUCGCCGGCGUACGGCUGCCACGUGGCCGACGCUGGCUGGGGCGAGGCGGGCGUCCGCGCGCGGGAGAGAGGGGGAGCGGGAGGCAGGCCGGGCCGCUCGCUGGGCCGAAAGGGAGGCGGGGUUGGCCCGGCAGCGCCUGCCCCUUUUCUAUUUUUUUUUGAAUUUCUUUUCUCCAAAUCUCUUCUAAAUUCAUUUGGGCCAAUUUAAAAUCAUUUUCACCUCUUGCUCCUAAAAGCAAAAUUGUUCCAAAACAAAAACCCUACAACUUUGUUUUAAUAAGCAAGACCAAAAUGCAAAUAGAAUUUGAAUUACAAAUUAAAACUAGUUCUAGGUUUUUAAAUAAAUUCAAUUUGGGAAUUUUUGUAUGAAUUCCAUUUCUCAAAUUCUAUAGCUUCAAAAAUUACACAAAAAUAUUCUUAAUUCUUCUUACACAUAAAUCAACCUAGUUUGAAUAUUUCACAUUUUUAGAAGCAAGCAUCAUAUUUUUAACAUAAUUAAAACACAUGAAAUAAAGCACAUAAAAUCAUGUUUUGGGGAUGAAUGACAUGCUCAUGAUUCUAUGCUUGAUGAGAAUGCUCAUGCAUGUUGUGAUAGGGCUAAAUGCAUGCUUAACACCUAGGGUGUUACAAGAUCUUGAGAGUGAUCUUGGAGGAGAUGUGAUGUUCUUCUUGGUGCCACUUGAGGAGUUGAUUGGGGAGCAUCAACAUCUUGUGCUUGUGCCACCGCUUGCUCAUGAGUGACUUGAGUGUCCUCAUGGGCAUCUCUCACAUCCUUGUCUUCAUCUUGUUGACCUUGUGAGGUGGAUGGUGGCUCAAUGGCUUGCACAUCAUCAUCAUCUUCUUUAGGCUUGAUGUCUCCCACCGGCAUGUUCUUCAUGGCAUCCCUCAAUGGUUCACCACCUACAUCAUCAAGGUUAUCACUUGCUCCUUGGGAGCCAUUAGUUUCAUCAAAUUCAACAUCAAAUGUUUCUUCAACCAUGUUUGUGGCAUGGUUAAAGACCCUACAUGCCUUGGACUUUGAUGAAUAGCCAACCAAGUAGCCAAUGUCACAUCUUCUUUGGAACUUUCCCAAGUGUUGGCGCUUCUUGUAGAUGUAGCAUUUGCAUCCAAACACUCUAAAGAAUGAGACAUCGGGCUUCUUCCCAUUGAGCAAUUCAUAUGGUGUCUUCUCUAGGAACUUGUGGGGAAAGAGCCGGUUUGAAGCAUAGCAUGCGGUGUUGAUUGCCUCGGCCCACAUCUUCUCGGAAGUGUUGUACUCAUCUAGCAUUGUUCUUGCCAAGGUGAUCAAUGUCCGGUUCUUCCUUUCUACAACCCCAUUUUGUUGUGGUGUGUAUGUUGAGGAGAACUCAUGCUUGAUUCCCACUUCAUCACAAUAUUCUUCAAUGUUGGUGUUGUCAAACUCUUUGCCAUUGUCACUUCUAAUUUUCUUGAUCUUCACAUCAAAUUGAUUUUGAGCAUUCUUUGCAAACUUCUUGAAUAUUGAUGCAACUUCGGCCUUGUCUUGCAAGAAGAAUGUCCAACUGUACCGGGAGAAAUCAUCAACUAUGACCAAGCAAUAUUUGUUGCCUCCAAGACUAGCAUAUGUGGUUGGUCCAAACAAAUCCAUGUGAAGUAGCUCAAGCACUCUUGAAGUAGAGAGAUAGGCUUUAGUUGGAUGAGUGUUUGCAACUUGUUUGCCCGCUUGACAUGCACUACAAAGUUUGUCCUUUUCAAAUGUCACAUCCUUCAAGCCUCUAAUCAAUUCUUUCUUCAUCAACUUCUUGAGUGUGCCCAUUCCAACAUGUGCUAACCUUCUAUGCCACAACCACCCAAGUGAAGUCUUGGUGAAUAGGCAAGUCUUGACAUCAACUUCAUUUGAUGAGAAAUCAACUACAUAUAAGUUGUUGUAUCGGAAGCCUUUGAAUAUCACUUCAUUGUCAUCUUCCUUGGUCACAAUUACUUCCUUCUUCUUGAAUAGGCAUUCAAAUCCAAGGUCACAAAGUUGCCCAACCGAGAGCAAGUUGAAACUCAAAGAUUGCACAUAGAGCACAUUGGUGAUGGAGUUGUCAUUUGAUAUGGCAACCUUUCCUAAUCUCUUGACCUUGCCUUUUGAAUUGUCACCAAAUGUGAUCUUCUCUUGGUUGUCAACAUCUUCAUCAAGAGAGGUGAACAUCCGGGGAUCUCCGGUCAUAUAUUGAGUGCAACCACUAUCAAUUACCCAAUGUGAUCCACCGGUCUUGUAGUUCACCUACACACAAGAGAUCAAGCUUGAGAUUUAGGGACCCACAUUUGCUUAGGGCCCUUGACUUUCUCUACUAGUUGCUUUGGCACCCAAAUCUUCUUUGGCCUUUGCUUGUUGGGCGGCCCCAUGAAGCUAACCUUGACCUUGCCACUCUUGUCUUUCCUUACAAUGUAGUGAGCAUUGAAGGCAAAUGGUCUUGCAUGCUUGGGCAAGGGUGGUGGUAGUGGUGCCUUACACUCAUGAGCAAAGUGUCCUUCUUGACCACACUCAAAGCAUCUCUUUGGUUUUAGCUUGCUUGAUUGAUCAUGAGUAGCUAGUGACUUGAUGAGCUUUGUUUGAUGUGCCUUGUAGCCAAUUCCACUCUUGUCCAUCUUCAUGACGGUGUUCAUGAAAAGCUCACUUUGAAGGUCCUUCCCCUUUGUGAACUUUGCUAACCCCAUAGUUAGGUGUUCCUUCUCUUUCUUGAGCUUGUUGUUCUCUUGAGUUAGCUUCUUGAUGAUUGGGUCAUUGUUGCUUGCUAACUCAUCCAAGAUGAAUAUCUCAUCUUCUUCUUGCUUGUCAUACAUCAAACCAAGCUUGAGAUAUUGAUUUUCUUCUUUGAGUAACUUGUUCUCGUAUGCAAGUUUCUUGUCUUGAUCAAGUGACUCAAACACAAUGGUCUUGUGCUUGGCUUGGUCUUGCAACUCCUUUUUGAGCAUGACAAUUUCAUCCUUGAGCUUGAUAGUGUCCUCAUAACUCUCGGCCACUACCACUUUCUUGCCCUUGCAACCAACACAUUUGCUUGUACUCUCCACAAGUAGGUCAUCACAAGAUGUGGCUACAUCAAGCUUAGCAACAUUGUUAGUAGCAACAUGUGUUUCAUCAAUUGUAAGUUCAUAAGCAAUCUCAAGGUUGUCAUAGUUUGCCUUUAGAGUUGUUAGUUCUUCUUUCAUUGCUCUAUAUCUAGUGAUAAGCUCAUCAUGAACACUCUCAAGUUUAUCAUGUUUUUCUUUGAGCUCUUUUAGAGAGAGUUUGAGCUCCUUGAGCUUAGUGGUCAUGAUCUCAUUUUGGUCUCUAAGCUCAUCACUAGACUUAAGCUUUGCUAGAAGUGUGUCAUUUUCAAGUUCAAGCUUUUCAUUUUCACUUCUAGUCUUUCUUAUGACUUUUGUGUAUUUGUUUAGCAAUUUUACAAGUUCAUCAUAAGAGGGUGAUUCAUAUUCACUAUCACUUUCACUACUCUCAUCCUCACUUUGUACCUUUCGGUCACCUUUGGCCAUAAGGCAUAGGUGUGUAGAGGAUGUAGACGGUGGUGAAGAUGAUGGUGAUGGAGCAUCGAUGGCGAUGGCGGCAACCUUCUCAUCAUCACUUUCAUUGCCGGAGGAGUCACCACUUGAGCUCUCAAUGUCGGUGAGCCAAUCACCAACAAUGUAAGCCUUGCCAUUUUUCUUCUUGUAGUGCUCCUUCUUCUUGCCACCUUUCUUCUUGUAUUGCUUCUUGUCAUUCUCCUCAUCAUCACUUGAGUCAUCUUGCUCUUUGUUCUUCUUCUUGUACUUGUCCUUCUUGGGCUUUGGACAUUGAUGAGCAAGAUGACCAAGCUCACCACAAUUGUAGCAAUCCAUCUCGGAGAUGGGUUUCCUCUUGCUACUUGUGAAGAACUUCUUCUUGGAAUCAAAGUUGACUCCAUUCUUGUUGAGCUUCUUCAACAUCUUGGUGGUUCUUCUCACCAAGAGGGCAAUAGAUGCAUCAUCAUCACUUGAAGUUGAUGACUCAACUUCAAUCUUCUUGGCUUUGCCCUUGUGAGAAGCUUUGAGAGCCAAAUCCUUCUUUUCUUUCUUAGCCGACGAGGAGCCAUCUUGAGGAUUCAUGUGCAUGUACAUCUCAUGAGCAUUGAUCUUCCCCAAUAUGGUUGUUGGUGUUGCGGUGGAAAGAUCGCCUUGAUGAAGCACGGUUACUAUGUGCCCAUAUUUCUCAAUGGGAAGCACACAUAGUAUCUUCCUUGCUACAUCCACCGUACUCAUUUGUGUAAGCCCAAGUCCAUUUAGCUCCUCUACAAUGACAUUCAAGCGAGAAUACAUUUCAUUAGCAUUUUCUUUAGGAAGCAUUUCAAAUGUAUUAAGCUUGUUCAUCACUAGGUGAUAGCGUUCCUCGUGUUCACUCUUUGUUCCCUCAUGGAGCGCACAAAGUUCCUUCCAAAGUUCAUUGGCGGUUUUGUGGCUCCGAACGCGGUUGAACACCUCUUUGCAAAGACCUCUAAAGAUGUGGUUUUUGGCCUUCGCAUUCCACUUCUCGUUUUCUUGCUAUUGUGGAGUAAGAGCUGUGGCUCUUUCCGGAGGGGCAAACCCUUCGGUCGCGGCUUUUAGGCACUUUACAUCGCAUGCCUCAAGGUAUGACUCCAUCCGUAUUUUCCAAUACGGAAAGUCAUUCCCAUCGAACAUGGGUGGCGGUCCAUCCCCGUUAGACAUCUUUCUCUAGGCGGUGAAGCCUAAAUAAUGAGCACUAGGCUCCGAUACCAAUUGAAAGGAUCAAGAUGCCCAAGAUGGGGGGGGUGAAUUGGGCUUCUCUAAAAAUUUAAGCAACCUAUAAGCUCCAAGUCAACCCCUUGUGCCCAGUGUGACUUAGAGAGCUACCGGAUAAAAAGUUUUGCAACCUAAAUAUUUUCUAAUCUCCAAAGUGGCGAAACUUCGGCGUGAGAUUAUUUCUUUUAGACAACUGGAAGAAGAAUCUCUUGGCAAAUCAUGGGACUGCUUUAUUAACCUUACUCUCACUGGCCCAAAGCUUUCUAUUCCAGAAGAAGUUCUUCUAAUUCACUUUUUGAGGGCCUUAGUAGGGAAAAUAAGCAAACCUUGAAUACAGCCUCUAGAGGAUCCUUCUAUCACCUACCUGCUAGUGAAGCUAGGGAUUUAAUUGAUUCAUUGAGUGGAAAGUUUCCUAGCAUUUAAUCCCUGAGAAAGAGAAAGAACCAGUUCCUAGACAAGAAGAAGAAGUUUCGAUAGCCAGAUCACAACCACUUCAAUCCCAAACUUUAGCUAUCGAUCCUAAACCAUCAAUACCCCAAAAUUCUCCAAGGGAGGAAGGAAUUCCGACCUUAAAUCUUUUAGAUGCUGAUGGUUUAGACUUCUGGUUCCAUAAGAGACCUUCAAGCAGGGAUAAUUCAAAUCCUUGCAAUAAUGGUUCUCUUAGAGAAUGUCCUGGUUCCUGUUAUGAAGAAGUCGAGGAUGACAUAUCAAGUGAAGGAGAGCUAAACCAUAUAGAAGAUUCUAUCUGCUCACCUUCCAUGUUCACAAAUUCUAAAUCCAUCCUUGACCUUAGAGACCCCUCUUAUCCCCUCACCUUUUAAGUCUCAUGAGGAUCCUAGCAAUUCACGAAGACGACCAAACCGUAGGAGUCAUGAAGACCAUAAGGAUGGCAUCUCAAGUAAUGUCAUAGAAGAAGAGCUAAGCCAUAUAAAAAAUUCUAACACCUCCCCUUUCCUGAUCACAAGUUCUAAAUGGCUAGAAUGUGUAGAAUGAAUGGAUAAGGAAGAAGCCUUAAUGGAUUCUGACUUUGGCUCAAUUUCAAAUGGUGAGUUCUUGACUCCCUUUGAAGAUGAGAUUCAUCCAACUACAGAAGAGGACAUAGGUGAGACCAAUCCAGGAGAAACUCUGAACAUUCAGAUUGGAGACGAAGAUAACAUUAAUGAGCAUGGAAUUUAUUUCAUAGCCACUUCGUUUACUCCAUGCUCAUAUGCAACAUCUUCCCAAUCUAUUGGUCUCUCCAACAUCACCACAUUUGAGAUCUCCAACCCCCUCUUCCUUUCUAUUUAUAAAAACUUUAAAAGGGCGGUUGUCGAUGCAUAUGUCUAUAAUAAAUAUUGCAGAUCUCGUUGAGUUGAUCUUGAUAUAGGUCAGCGUUGGAAGGGAAACCACUUCGCCGACAUAAAUUGAUGGUUUCCCAAGGACAAGCUUAGUGUCCUAAAAUAAGCACUGAUCAGAUCGUAACAUAAGCUUUUAAUUAUUUACAACAUUACCUUGUGUAUUGAGCAUAUAAGGACAAUUGUAAAAAUAUUCCUUUGAGGAUUCUGGUCACUAACCUUUCCAGGAUUGGAGCAAGAAGAUUGGAUGAGUGACAAGCACAAGGUAUGUCCAACCAAUCAUCAUACAACAUUGAAUUAAAUUCAAACUUGAAUUUUGCAAAAUUCAAGCUUGGGGGAGUACUUUACAUAAAAACAUCCUUUGCCAUAUUGCCAUGUUGGUUGUCCCUACCUUUGAGACAUGCUCAAUUUGUUAAAUACUAAUCACACUACUUCAUCUCCACUUGAGUAGAUCUCUAUAAAUGCUCUCAUGCUACCUUUAUUUGCUUUAGUAUAUGUCUAGGUUUGGAGUAGUUUCAUUUAUCUCUUAAAUAAGCAUGGUGCUUAGUUUAGGAAUGAUGAUCUUACUUCCAACGGAUUUUAAAUUAAGCAUGGUGCUUAGGUUAAAAUGCCCUCCUAAAUCAAAUUAGACAUGGUGUCUAGGUUGAUUUUUGAGCCGAUAGUAUGCUAUAGUAGAUAUUGGAUAUUUUGUUGGACUAACCCCUACAGGAAAACUUUCAAUAUCGACCUAGGAAGUCCUGAGAUAAACUCACAUUGGAGACAAAGAGAGAGACACAUCAAGUUUAACAAUUUACACAAGGAAGACAUAGCUCAUAAGAGAUGAUCCAUGGAGGGUGCCACAAACACGAUGCACAACCGCUAAGAAAGGAAAGCUUCCACAAGGUGAUAUUGUACCGUCACUCUUCAAGUAAGGUAACAUCUUAAGAUACUUGACUAUCACUUUUAUAAGCUUCUCCUUGGUUCUGGCGUUCACUGUUGACGGUUCUUAAGUAUCAAUUUUAAUUAUCAAAUAAACAAGAGAAAGGACCAAUAUGCAACCCGCACAUAGAGUUAGGGUUUGAUCUGACAGAAUUCCACGAGUUUUGUUGUUUAUCUAUUUCUGCAGGGGGUUAUCAGGAAAUAAGGAAGAAAGGCCCACAUGUCAGGAUUACAUAGAGAUAUCAACGCACCGCGCAAUUUCAUAUCAUCUAGAAGACUCCAGAAGCCACGAGACCGAAGCGGAGGCGAAGCUGGGCCAGGCCCAGGGCGCCCGCCCUGGUAGCCUGGGCGCCCGCCCCCCUUCUGGAGCCAAUUCAGGAUUCCUUCGCUCGGGAUAUUCCACCGACCUAUUGGAUCAAGAAAAACAUAGUACCACCUCGGCUAUCGACCCAAAAACGCAUAGAAGGGGAGGACUAUAUAAGCGAGGCCCCCCAUGGCCCCUGGAAGACAUGAAGAAAUUAUCAUAGAGACUGAGGGGUGCCCUCGAAGGAAAACCUCUUCUCUAAUUAAUAUUUCUUUUUAGGCUUAGCAAUCAAUGUAAGGUAGAAAUAGAUCUUCUAGUUUCUACUAGAUUGAGAGAUAUAGAGUGGAGGUGUAGAGUGGAGGAAGCCCGGCCUGUCGGUGUCUACUCCAAGCUUGUACCUGCGGGAUCAAGUUCUCCUAACCCGAAGCUUGCUCCUAGGAUUCUUCAGUAAUUCGACUUCUAAAUUCUAGUAAGUUCUUGUUUUAUUGUUAUUAUGGUUUAUGAGUUUACUUUAAUCUCUUCGCGUAGAGUUUAGAGUAAUCAUUGCUGGCGUAAACGUGGUGUUUAGGCUAGGGUACUCAUAGAUAUUCCCUGACUAGCUGGACCGUGGUAGUAGUGAGGAACGUGACAUUUCCGAGCUACCUUUGUAGAUCACAUCUCGUUAGCAGGAAGGAUAGGGUUUAUAGGUGCGGGUCGAACAUCCUUUGUGGUGUCUAGAUUCCAUUAGCCUCCCCAUUAGAACAGUAGAUCAUCCUUACCAAGGUUAGAAGGAGACUACGGUUGCAGUCUUCUCUAUUUAUCACUCACAUCGAAAGACAUUCUUUGUGCCUAAAGGUUAGUAGUAAUAGACCGGUUAGUCAGAUGCACUCUUUCUCCUAGUGGUAAAAAAAUAAAUACGAUACUCUGGAUAAUUUCCCGGGUGAAAUGCUCACCGAUAUCCAUGCGUUUGCGGAUCAAUUCCUUAUUGCGUUCCCAAAUAUCAACAAGCAUUUCUGGCGCCGUUGCCGGGGAGAAAGACGGUUGCUGAGAUAACCUAUGUCUUGCUAUUAGCUUGUAUCUAUACUUUUAUCUUUUUCUUAUCUUUUAUAUUCUUUAUUUAUUUUUCUUUAUUCUUACCUUAUGGAAAACCAAAAUUCUAAAUCGAUCCAUGAGUCUGCAAUCCCUUUAGCAACUGACCUUUUACCAUGGGAAUCAUCACAGCCUAUCCAAACACCCCAGUAUAAGUUAAGUUCUAGGUUGAUUGCCAUGAUUCAAAACCUAUCUUUUUCAGGAAAGGAAGACGAAAACCCUUACCUUCAUAUUAGAGAGUUUGAGCAAACAUGUGAUUGUCUUCGCAUUGAAGGCAUUUCUGAUAAGACUUUACGUUGGAAGCUUUUUCCUUUUUCUCUAAGGGGAGAAGCUAGACAAUGGUACAGUCAGAAGGUAAGUCAACAACAAGGUGAAUGGGGAGUCUUACGAGCCAACUUUUGUCUAGAUUUCUAUUCCCUUGACCGUAUAGCCGACCUUAGACUCGAAGUUCUAUCUUUUAAACAAAAAGAUAAUGAAACUUUGGGAAAAUCCUGGAAACGUUUUUCUGAUCUUUUAGAAUCUGGUCCAAACCUUAAUCUUGAAGACCCUGUUCUUUUAUUUCACUUUUUUCGAGGUCUUCAUAAAAAUCACAAACAAAUGCUACACACAAUGUCUAGAGGUUCUUUCUUUCGCAUCCCUGCUGAUGAAGCUAGAGUGAUCCUAGAUAGAAUCCUAGAAGCUGAGAUGGAUAAUACCCUUCAUGAUGAAACCUACGAAGCCGAAGUAGACACUCUGCCAAAUUCUUCUACUUUAGCUAUCCCAAGUUCUGAGCCACAAGAGGAAGAAAUUCCACUACCGGACUUCAUGCUGGAUAUAGAAUCCGAUCUUUUUGCCGAUUUUGGAAAUAUUUCAAACUACCAUUCUAUUGACAAACCCCAAAACGGCCAGUUUAGCAUUUAUUUACCAAGUGAAUAUCAAUUGAGAGAGCUUAUCUCAGUAAUGAGUAGCGAAUGGUUGGAGGAAUCAGAGCUUUCCUCUGAUGUGAUCCGUUUGGACACACCCUCUAUAACUAUACGCUGUGCUUAUAAUUCUGAUCGAUUUAAUGCUCUCUAUAAUCCUGUUGUGGGGGAUCAACAUCAUGUCUGAAUCUUUUCCACUUAAACUAUUUAAAAAUCUUGUCUUAACCCCCACAACAAAGGUCAUAAAGGAAUCUUCGGGACGAUUAGUCCCCAGUCUUGGAAUUAUUAAUGUCCUACCUCUUACGGUAGAAGGCUCCAUGGUUCAUUUGAACUUCUAUAUCUUUGAUACAUGGGACUUCGACUUAUUGAUAGGACAACCUUUUAGAAGACUCCUUUAUGAAGGUCAUACUGGAAAGCUACACAUUUCUUUUGGAAAAACUUUUCAAUUCCCAAUGAUAAUUUCACACUCCUUAAAUAAUAAGGCCGAGUCAUAUCUUUUGCCUGAUCCUAUGGAGGAGGUAAAGGCUGCAUCUCUAGAGCUUUUAGAUGAACCAGACUUAGAAGACGAAACUCCUUUCUUCACAGAAGAAGAAGACGAACCUUCCGAGCUUGAACCCUUAGAUGAGUUUGCAGAAACACCUAGACCCCCUAUAGAGCUUAAAACUUUACCACCCGGUCUUACCUAUGCUUUCCUAAACAAUAAUCCGGAGUUCCCUGUGAUCAUUAGCGAUAAACUCACUCAGGAUCAAACUCUGCGAUUAAUGACCAUUCUUGAGAAACAUCACUCAGUUUUUGGCUACUCACUUCAAGAUCUUACAGGAAUCAGUCCUAUGAUUUGUACCCAUCGUAUUCCAACAGAUCCUUCUGUUACACCCUCUCGAGAACCCCAACGUAGACUUAACAACACUAUGAGAGAGGUAGUUAAAAAGGAAGUUAUAAAGCUGCUGCAUGCAGGGAUUAUAUAUCCUGUGCCGCACAGUGAGUGGGUAAGCCCAGUACAAGUUGUGCCUAAAAAGGGAGGCAUGACAGUUAUUAUGAAUGAAAAGAAUGAGCUAAUUCCGCAACGCACCGUCACAGGAUGGCGGAUGUGCAUAGUCUAUAGAAAAUUAAACAAAGCCACGAGGAAGGAUCACUUUCCUUUACCUUUCAUAGAUGAGAUGUUAGAGCGGUUAGCAAACCAUUCAUUCUUUUGUUUCUUAGAUGGAUAUUCAGGAUAUCACCAAAUCCCGAUCCAUCCUGAUGAUCAAAGCAAAACCACUUUUACAUGCCCAUAUGGAACUUAUGCUUACCGUAGAAUGUCUUUUGGGUUAUGUAAUGCACCAGCUUCUUUUCAAAGAUGCAUGAUGUCUAUAUUUUCUGAUAUGAUUGAAGAGAUUAUGGAAGUUUUCAUGGAUGAUUUCUCUGUUUAUGGAAAAACUUAUGAUAGUUGUCUUGAAAACUUAGACAAGGUUUUGCAAAGAUGCGAAGAAAAGCACUUAAUCCUUAAUUGGGAAAAAUGUCAUUUUAUGGUUAGAGAAGGAAUAGUGUUAGGACACUUAGUGUCUGAAAGAGGUAUUGAGGUAGACAAAGCUAAAAUUGAAGUAAUUGAACAGCUACCUCCACCUGUGAAUAUAAAAGGAAUUCAAAGCUUUCUUGGCCAUGCUGGUUUUUAUCGUAGAUUCAUAAAAGAUUUUUCAUUUAUUGCUAGACCACUUACUCUUUUGCUAGCCAAGGAUGCUCCUUUUGAAUUUGAUGAUGCAUGUUUAACAUCUUUUAAUUUAUUAAAGAAAGCACUCAUCUCUGCACCAAUCAUUCAACCCCCUGAUUGGUCAUUACCUUUUGAAAUUAUGUGUGAUGCUAGUGAUUAUGCUGUAGGGGCAGUAUUAGGACAAACUAAAGAUAAGAAGCAUCAUGCAAUUGCUUAUGCCAGUAAAACUUUGACAGGAGCUCAACUUAAUUAUGCAACCACUGAAAAAGAGCUUCUGGCUGUUGUCUUUGCCAUUGAUAAAUUUAGAUCUUAUUUAGUUGGAGCUAAAAUAAUUGUUUACACUGAUCAUGCUGCAUUAAAAUAUUUGCUCACUAAAAAAGAUGCUAAACCUCGCCUGAUUAGAUGGAUCUUAUUACUCCAAGAAUUUGACCUAGAAAUAAAAGAUAAAAAAGGAGUAGAAAAUUCUGUUGCUGAUCACUUGUCUAGAAUGUAUUUUAAGAGUCCACAGGAAACCCCUAUCAAUGAUUCACUCCGAGACGACAUGCUCUACGGGAUUAACAGGUCUGACCCCUGGUAUGCAGAUAUUGUUAAUUUUAUGGUUUCAGGGUAUGUACCACCAGGAGCAAACAAAAAGAAGCUUACUCAAGAAAGUCGUUCACAUAUAUGGGAUGAGCCAUACCUCUUCCGAGUAUGCUCUGAUGGCUUACUCAGGAGAUGUGUGACCACUGAGGAAGGAUGGAAGAUCAUCGACAGAUGUCAUUCAUCACCAUAUGGAGGUCAUUAUGGAGCAUUCCGUACACAUUCAAAGAUCUGGCAGUGUGGAUUCUAUUGGCCUACAAUGUAUGAAGACACGAAGCAAUAUAUUAGAAGAUGUGGGCCAUGUCAAAGACACGGAAACAUAAAUACAAGGGAUGCAAUGCCACUCACCAACAACCUUCAGAUUGAGCUCUUUGAUGUCUGGGGAAUAGACUACAUGGGUCCAUUUCCUCCAUCAAAGAAGUGCGAGUACAUCUUGGUGGCAGUUGACUAUGUCUCCAAGUGGGUAGAGGCAUUACCUUGCAAGCAUGCCGACAACGUCUGUUCAAAGAGGAUGUUUGAAGAAAUUAUAUUUCCAAGAUUUGGAGUUCCCAGAGUAGUGAUAAGUGAUGGAGGAGCACACUUCAUCGACAAACGCUUCAAGCAAUACCUAUCAAGACAUGGAAUCCGUCACAACGUCGCUACCCCCUAUCAUCCUCAGACAAGUGGCCAAGCAGAGACUUCCAACAAACAAAUCAAGAAUAUUCUUUAGAAGACAGUAAAUGAAAUGGGAACGGCGUGGAAAGACAAGUUACCCGAUGCACUCUGGGCAUACCGGACAACAUACAAGACCCCAAUUGGAAUGUCUCCAUACCAAUUGGUGUACGGGAAGACUUGCCAUCUACCUGUUGAACUAGAAUUCAAAGCACACUGGGCCAUAAAGAGAUGGAAUAUGGACCUAGAUGUUGCUGGAGAUUAUAGAAGAAUGCAAUUAUCAGAAUUGGAAGAAUGGCGAGAGAAGGCAUAUCACAAUUCAAAGAUCUACAAAGAAAGAGUCAAGAGGUGGCAUGACAAGAGAAUCAAGAAGAAGGAGUUCACACCCGGAGAUAAGGUAUUACUUUUUAAUUCCAGGGUGAAGCUUUUCGGGCAUGGAAAACUCUGGAGCAAAUGGGAAGGACCAUUCAAGGUAAUCAAUUCAUCAUCCCACGGAGCUAUAACACUUCAAAAUAACGAAGGUACGUUAUUCAAGGUAAAUGGUCAACGUCUUAAAUUAUUUUUAGAGCCCAAUGAGGAAUUUGAAGAAAUAGACGUAGUCCAUUUUUACCUUCCCAUAGAGAAUCAGAGCCCGACACUUUUGGUCUGAUGGUUUUGGGGUCAUAUAUAUAUUUUUCUAAAUAAUUUCGCAUCUAGAAACACGCUCGGAGAAGUGGGCCCACAGAGGGGCCAGAGAGAGGGCGGGCGCCCAGGUCAAGUGGGCGGGCGCCCUGCCCCUGUUCCCCCUCGGUCCCGACUUUCUCUGUUAUGGAAAAUGCACUUAUGGUAAUUCGAAUAAUCCCUCGGACGGAAAGUUUCCCACGCAAGUCGACCGGAGCAACCCGAACAACCCAUAGAGGCAUCCUUUUGACCCCUAUAUAAACAGACCCCUGACCUCAGUUUUCAAACACCAAGCCACCAAGCUUUCUCUCCUUCAAUUAGAGCUUGAUUAGCUCUCUUUCAAUUAAAAUUUUAUUAGUUCCUUGCUACUCCAAUGGCCGAGAAAUACCACGAUGAUUGGGAAGUCGUCCCCUUCAACCUCAACAUGGAGCCAGUGGAAGACCCCGAUGCCCGUGCUCUCGUCCCGGCCAACACAGAGCGUCAGCUAGAAGCCAUGCCAUUACGUCAACGCAGCUCCGCCCAAUCUUAUCAUGCUCAACCAGUUCUCACCGCACCACCACAACCCCUACUCCUCAAAGGAUCAUCAUCCAAGACGAAGACCACUAUCACGGUGCCAAUCGGCACAAGAGUCCUUCCACCUAGACCCAAUGAGAGGGUCGUUGGAGUCAAGACCAACCGAAGCGGUGAGAUCAGCAGCGUUCGCUACACUAUGGAGGAGGAAAGGCCUUACUUUGAAGGGAUUAGAGCAGCCAAAGUCCGUUUCAUCCCUCCAAAGGCAGCCCCAAAGCACUCUCUCAAUGCUUUUGAGACACCUCCCAAGCGUCGCAAGACUAUAAUGGAUAUUGAUGAGAAAGUUCGCAGGCUAGAUAGAGUUAUCAUAGACCUCCAGUCCUCGAUUAAUUCCCUCACUAGGCAGCUCUCUAACCACAACACCGUUAUACUAGGCCUUAGGCAGGAUCUUGCCAGUGCCAACAGGAAGAUCAAGGAAUUAGAGCGCCGCUAAGUUAUCUAGAUUAGACCUUGAGGCAAUGCAUCUUAGUUAUCUAUCUUUAAAUUCGGUUUAAGUUUGCUAUUAUAAGUUUGCUAUCAGUCUUUUGUAAUAAAUGCCUCAAGAUCAAUAAAGAGUAUUAUUAUUAUUAUUAUUAUGUCUUGUGUGUCUCUACUUUAUUUUUGUGCAAGAAAGCAGAAAACAAGUAUGGGGGAGAUCCCUCGACAUGCUAAACACACUCCGACUACACCACUCCUCAAUUCAGGUACACACUUUGCACACUUUACUUCAUACAUACAUUUAUUCCGGAUUAUGCAGAUUACUAUUCCCGACAUGAUAAAUUAAAAAAAAAGAUUAAAAUAUUUCUAAUCAUGAUUAAUCUCAAUCUGUGAUAUUUCCUGAAAACUUGCAAUUAUUAUAAAAUCAUUUUAAAACCCUGUGUUACUUAAGUCAAUAUGGAAUAUGUGAUGGUAGAGUAUGAGUUUCUUAUUCUUGAUAUCAUUGUUGCUUGGAGAAUUUAUUUCAAAAUAUUCAAAUUUCUAGCUACCAUCCUCAGUGUUUUAUAUGCCUGAUAAGACUGAAAAUAUUAAUUAUGAUUAUAAAAGCUAUCUGCUCUGUAUUGAGUUUGUUCAGAAUGAGUUAGACCCUUGUUGAGAGAUUUAUCAUGCUCCCAAGAUCAAGACACUAUUUCAGUAAGAUUCACUCUUCCGAAGUAUUAUUGCAUUAGAGGCAUGGGCUAUGCAAAAAUAGAAGAUAUUUCGAGGAAAUAAAAAGGAGCAAGUGCUCGACAACCUCGCAGAAAAAAAUGGACAAGUGUCCGGCAGUAGAAUUAGGGGUACCUCGGUAUCCACUUAAAAAAAAAGAGAGAGAGAAAAAAGAGAAAAAAAAUGAUAGCCCAUGGUCCCUCUAAUAAGCAAUAUGCCAGCAAGAGUUGACAAAGUUUUUAAAGUCUUUGAUCUAAGAGUAUGACAUUCCCCUCCUCGGAUCCCGUUUUGAUCAGGCAAUAAAUGCAAAGUGAGUAUGCUUAAGAAUUUUUGCAAAAUAAAACAACCUCAGUGAGAUAUAUAUACAAAAGAUAAUGAGUGAUCUGAGAGAACCUAUGAGGAUAAAAAGGUAUGCUAACUUUCUUUCAAAAAUAUACAAAAACUCCAAGUGACAGGAUUGAGAAGAAAGGAUCUUUACUCUUAACCAUAUACUUCCAUGACUAUGGUACACAGUGGAAUUUUUGACACCCUGCAAUUAUAAAGAGAAUGUUUUAAAUGUUUACCCCAGAUAUUAUUCUCAACCUUCCUUUUCUCGAGGACGAGUAAAAGCCUAAGUAUGGGGGUAUUUGUUGACGGUUCUUAAGUAUCAAUUUUAAUUAUCAAAUAAACAAGAGAAAGGACCAAUAUGCAACCAGCACAUAGAGUUAGGGUUUGAUCUGACAGAAUUCCACGAGUUUUGUUGUUUAUCUAUUUCUGCAGGGGGUUAUCAGGAAAUAAGGAAGAAAGGCCCACAUGUCAGGAUUACAUAGAGAUAUCAACGCACCGCGCAAUUUCACAUCAUCUAGAAGACUCCAGAAGCCACGAGACCGAAGCGGAGGCGAAGCUGGGCCAGGCCCAGGGCGCCCGCCCUGGUAGCCUGGGCGCCCGCCCCCCUUCUGGAGCCAAUUCAGGACUCCUUCGCUCGGGAUAUUCCACCGACCUAUU